rnacentral:lncRNA from 1 species
AUUUAUUUGGUUACUACAUUGAUGAUAAUAAUAAACUAAUAUCUUGAAACUUACUACAUCAAUUCUCUGUUUGGGAACUUUAAUCGAAUUCAAGUUCGACCGGGCCUUUAAUUUCAAGUUCGAAGCUCGGCUCGUAAAUAGUUCGAUAGGCUCGAGUUCGUCUCGAAACCUCGAAUCGAGUCACCAAAUAUUGACAAAAACUCGAAUUAUGAUUGGUUCGACUCGAAUUCGAUCCGAUAAAAUAUAUAAAUUAUAAAUAAAAUAUUAAAUAUAUUUGUUAAAAUAUAUUUAUAAUAAAAAAUUAAAAAAUAAUAGAGGUUCGAUAAGGCUAGCGAACCUUACGAGCCGAGUAAUUUGAAGCUCGAGCUCGGCUCGGUAAAACAUCCAAAUAGCUCGAGCUCGAGCUCGGCUCUAUUAUUACCGAAUCAAAUUCGAAUAUUUACCGAGCCGAGCUCGAGUAGCUCACGAACAGUUUGGUUUGUUUACACCCCUAGAAUCAGCUACAUGGUUUGUAUAUUCCAAACCCAUACUUGGUGUUUGGUUGGUAAAUACAAAAUCUCAAACACAUAUCUUAAACCCUCAAGAUAAGGAUUUUUGAUACCAAGGGGGAGGUGGAUAUGAGAUGGAGGUAUGAGAUAGCAUUUAUUUUUGAUUUUGUUAAUGAAAUAAUAAUGUUUAAUACAAAAUUAAAUCAGUGAUGCAAAAAUAUAUGACAACAAUAAUUUCAUUAAUAUUUUUAAUUAAUAUAAAUUAAUAACUUUGAAAAAUAAUUGUAUAUUUUGAUUCAAUCACUCAGCCAAACACACACAUGUUAUCAGCCAAUUCUAAUUUAACCUCAUAUCAGUCCUCCUCGAACCAAACCAUCCCUAAUAGUUACUUGUAUGGUUGAUCUUUUAAGAUAGUCUCAUAAGAAAAUGCCUGAGAUUGAGAAGUUAUCGAAUGUGAUGGAUGUCUAAUGUGAUGCAACCGUAUCUACAAAUAUUGCUUUCACCAUAUGGAGUACAUGAAGUUGCAGAUUUGGAUAAGAGGGCAGUAGAGCCCCUAUUUAAAUUGGACCCGUAAAAUCUUACAAGAAUAUUGAAAAUGAAAGACAUUUUUAAAGGGAUAAAUAUCAAGUAGGUCACUCGUUUCGUCUAAAUGUAUCAAUUGAGUCACUGAUUUCCAAAUUGACUCAAAUAAGACACUAAUUAGAAAAAUUUGUAUCAAAAAUAUCAUUCUAUCGUUAGUCGAAAUUUUGAAAGUAUUAUAUAUUGAGUUUUGCACAUUUUUUAUGAAUGGUAUUACAUCCAAAUGAAAGAUUCCGAAUUCUACUAUUUUCGCUAAUAUUUUUAUAUUUUUAUGAAUGGUAUUAAAAUAAAAUGUGUAUUUCAUCAAAUACACAUCUUUACGUCCGAGGACAUCAACAUGCUGACACAGGGAGGAUGGGAAUAGCUCGGAGCUUAAGCACCUAGUGCCAAAAAAAAGAAAAGAAAAUUAAUAAGAAAAAUAAAAUUUUAUAUAUACAAAAGCACCUUCUAAAUCCUUUUAAAAGUGUAUAAUAGUAGUUUUGAUAUGUAUUACCUUGUAUUAAUAUAAAAAAUAUCAACAUUUGAGAUUAUUUUUUCAAUAAUAAUUAAAUUUUUAUUUAUCAAAUCAUGAAUCCACGUUGGUCGCUAUGCUGACUUGAUACACAAUCAUGCAUCAAUCAUAUGUCAAGUUGUCAGAAAAUGUAGUCAGAGAUCGCUCAAUAGAACAUAUGAGAUGAACCCAUGAAAGCCAUAGUAGAUAUAUGUGUCAAGUCUCGUAAAGAGCGAGAAUCAAAUUUAAGUGUAAUCGAUAAAUUGAUAGGAUAUUUUAAAAUAUUUAUACGGAUUAUUUAAUAUUGUUUACUAAAUCGGAAUUUUCAAAAUUUGUUUAAAGCCCGUACUGUUUGAGAGGGUUGUUCAAAGAAUUAUUCAAAACUUGUCUGUCAAGUCUACACGAUCAAUUUAAGAGGUUGUUCAACUGUCGUGCCGUUAGAAAAAGUACUUAUUAUAUAACUGUUUGACACUACUCAUAACGGACCAAUUGCAUUUACCACCUACUCGAUUUCUCAACUUCCCAUUUCUGCUUAGAGAGGCUUCAGCAAUGGCUGUCAAGAGAGGAGCUUCUCUCACAAUGACUUGUUUCAGCUUAACCCCUCCAAUUAUAAGCCCUUGUUCUCUUUUACCCGCUCUUUUUCAUUCUCAUUUUCUUCCUUUCUCUACUAAACCUAACUCUAAUUUACAACCCAAACCCGCCUUUAUUCCUUCUCCAUCCACCACUCAUCCCAAACUAAAACAAUUACUCUAUCAUAAAUCUAAGCUUGGUUUUGAUAAACUCCACGAUGCUCUUCUUGUGUUCGAUCAAAUGCUCCUUCUAAAAUAUAGGCUUUCUGUUGUGGAUUUCACACAACUGUUAACCGCCCUGGUUCGAAUGGAAGAGUACUCAGUUGCCGUCUCCAUGUUUAGAGAAUUCCGUGUUUUAAGCAUUCCUGUUAAUAUUGUUACCUUUACUACUGCCAUACAUUCAUGUUGUCAUUUGAACACACUUGAUUAUGCCUUUUCAUUGCUUGCUGUAAUCAUCAAGAGUGGUCAUGUCCCCAAUGUUGUGACCUACAACACUCUCAUCAAGGGCCUUCUAUCUCAAGACAGGCCUUUGGAGGCCAGGGAUUUGUUUAAGAAGCUUAUCAUGUUUCAAGAAAUUCAGCCCAAUGUAGUUAUGUAUAACACCAUCAUUGAUGGUCUCUGCAAGACUUCAAAUACCUCCAUGGCUCUCAAGUUGUUAAGAAAGAUGGAGGAGAUAGGUUGUAACCCCGAUGCGGUAACUUAUACCUCAAUUAUUGAUUCUUUGUGCAAAGAGAGACGAGUCGAUCAUGCAUUGGUUCUUUUGUCGGAAAUGACCGACAAAGGCAUAUCACCUAAUGUUAUAACCUAUAGCACGCUACUUCAAGGUCUUUGCAGCUCCGGCCGAUGGGAGGACACUGAGAGUUUGUUAACAGAGAUGGGGGUUAGGAAGAUCUCUCCAAACUUGCACACCUAUAAUAUAUUAGUUGAUGCACACUGCAAAGAAGGGAGGACAACAGAUGCAGAAGAUGUAAUUGAAAUUAUGAUCCAGAAAGGUGUCUUUCCUGAUUCAAUCACCUGCAAUGCACUAAUGGGUGGAUUUUGUUUAACAGGCAAAAUGGACAGGGCAUUAGAGGUGCUGAAUACCAUGAGGAGUAAUGGGAUAGCGCCAGAUCGUUAUAAUUAUACCAUUCUGAUAAAUGGCUAUUGUAAGAGGCAGGAACUAGACAAAGCCAUCAAUCUCCUCGAACAAAUGCAUGUUGAAGCUAUAAAACCCGAUGUUCAAACCUACAAUACACUGAUGCAUGGUCUCUUUCAGACGGGUAGACAUGUUGAGGCGCACAACCUUUUCCAUGAAAUGCUAAAAAAAGGUAAUAAAUCAGAUCUCGCAACAUGUCGAAUUCUCUUAGACGGCCUUUGCAAGAACCGAUACAUGGAUGAUGCAAUCUCCUUCUUUCGAAUGAUGGAAUGUGAAGGUAUAGUACAUGAUAUUCAAAUACAUAAUAUCCUAAUUGAUGGUCUCUGCAAGAUCAGAAAGCUUAAUAAGGCCAGAAUUAUUUUUGAUAAGCUUGCUUCGAGUGGUUUGCAACCUGACGUCAUAACACACAACAUAAUGAUCAGAGGACUUUGUCAAGAAGGGUUAUUUGAGGAAGCAAAGGAAUUACUUUCUAAAAUGGAAACGAGCAUUUGUUUGCCUAAUGAUGUGACUUAUAAUACGAUCAUCCGUGGAAGUCUUUUGAAUAAAAGAUAUGAAGAAGCAGCUGUACUGAUAGAGAACAUGCGAGCUCGUAAAUUUUCAGAAGAUGCAUCUACCACAUCCAUGGUACUGGACCUAUUAUCUAAAGAAGAACAAGACCCCUCCGUUCUUGCGUUCUGCAGAUGGUUUUUGCAAUAGGUACUGAAGUUUAUGGUUCAUUGUUAACUUCCUUAAGUUUUCUGCUGUAGUAAUAUGUUUUACUGAGCAAAGAAUUAUUCUAAUUAGCAAUGUAAGGGGUUCCAUCAGUUUGUUAAGAGCAAAUAGACAAUAUAUUUGAGACAGUAAGACUAUGUCUUCUAUUUGUAUUGAGUACGGUCUAUGUUCAAGUUGUCAUUCAGAAUUGAAACUUUGCAUCUCGAUGCCUCUUAUAUACAGAAAAAGAAAUCAGCAUUUGAAAAUAAUAAAAGAAGCCUAUGUAAUACUGAAUCUAAGGGUGUGUGGGGAUUGCCAUAUUGCUAUGAAAUUUUUAUCAAAAGUUUUUGAGAGGCUAUCAUAUAAGGGACUCGCACUGUUCCCAUCAUUUCAGUGAACGAAAAUGUUCUUGUGGUGAUUACUAGUAUAAAGUUCUUAUAUGUGUUUCCUUUUCCUCUCCAAUUUAUAUCUUGGUCAAGAGAAUGGAGGGCUCCAUUCCUUAACUCAUUGGUGUACGAUUUAGACAUUACAUUGCAAAAUCAAACUCUGCUUGCACCCUUCCCGCUUUAAUGUGAAAACGUAAGAUCACAAUCUUCCUGCUUUGUUAUGGCCCCAGCAGCUAAAUAUGGUUAAAUGAAUCUAAAGGUGCUGGACAGUUAAACAGGAGCACAAAUGCACAAUGGCACCGGGAUACAUUGAAGGUAUGUCAAAACUUUUUCUUUUGACAAUUACAUAGCCAGUAGAAGUAGUGUGCACUGCAAAAACUAAUGAAAAUAUACAAUCCAUAAGUAAACAGAAUGGAAUGCAGAUUCAGUAUUGUUUUACUGAAUUUUGGUUCUUAUUAUCAUAUACCAAAGUAAUAUGUGACAAAAGCAAAUCCGUUGAUCCUUAAAUAUUUCUUAAAUAUCGGCUCUUGGUUUAUCUCAUCCUAUCAGUUUGCGGUGCAAUAUUAUUACCGUAUUGAAGCAAUGACUGAUAAAUCUUGACAUUUAAUUGCUAUAUUCCUGAACUGACAGAUCAUUUUAUACUCUGUGCACCACUACUCCGAAUUAAUUUACCUAGCUAAUAGCGAAGGUACCAUUGCUUAGAGAAAUACUAAUAUCUAACUAAUGUACACUUUUGGAUAAUUUGCAGGCUUAUAUACUUAGAAAUAGAAGCAGAAGCUUGAUGUCAAAGUCAAUAAUAAUAACUUGUAAUUUCUGAAUUUUAUUUUUAAGCAAAAGUUAAAGGAUAUGCUAAAAAUGCAGGUUAACUGACAUCCACUAGUAUAUUUAUCUACAAUUUUGUGCCUACACAGUCUCGAGUAAAAAUAAAUGAUGCAUAGUACUGGACUUCAGAUACUGCCAAUUGUAACGAGAUCCAUCCAUUUUACUUUUGAGACAUCAAGAAACUGGGAGCCGAAAGUGUUGCUUAGUAAAUAUGCACUAUGCUGAAGAUCACUUGUGAGUGUGUUUGCAUAAGUAGUAAUCACGAGUUUCUACUUCAUGGAAAUUUUGAUGGGACGUGUUUGCGGUGUUUGGUAUAACCUACACUUGUCAUAGUGGGUGUUUGGCACGGGCUUAUAAGCCCCGGCUUCUGAAUUAUAAGUUAGAAGCACUUAUUUGUACCGUUUGUGUAAAAAGUCAAGAAGUACUUAAAAAAAGCUAUGAUUACUAGCUUUUGUCCCACCGCUUCUACUUAUUUUCCAAACACUUUUAUCACUUAUAAGUCUUAACUUGCUUCUAACUUCUAUUUCACUUUUUUAUUUUAAGCAAUAAGCACUUAUUUUAAGCUCAUCCAAACGGUCCCAUAAUAUUCUUCUUAUUUGUUAUUUGAUUUAGGUACUGUUUGGGGUUGCUGUUGCAGACAGCAACAGCAGCUUUUUGCUGAAAAGCAGGUGAAAAACUGUUUGGUAAAUACAAAAACAAUUUUUCCGAACAACAACUUUUAGCUGAAAAGCUGCUGUUAGAAAAAGCAGGUCCUCCCAUGCUUUUGGAAAAAGCUGCUUUUCAUCUUUUGCAGAAUGCUGUUAUAAAUUUCAUUAUAAAACUUUACCAAAAACAUUAUUUUUAUUUAUAUUAUAACUCAAAAUAAGUAAAUAUCAAAAAAUUACCAAACAGUUAUCUGAUUUCUACAACAGCACUUAUUUUACCAGCACUUUUUCUGACAGCACAGCAAUUUUCCCAAACAGACCCUUAGUGAUAUUGCCCGGUUUUCAUUCUAUGCAUUCAUAUUUAGUAGGUAGGGUCCGGGUCCCUCACAUUCAAUAUCAGGGCAUAUUGUCAGCCCGAAAAAAAAAAAUCUCUAGACGACUUAAUCCUAAAUUUUUGAUGAAUAUGCAUGGAUGCUAAAGUGUCAUCCAACGGACUAUUGCCUUAUUCUAAGUAAUAAUCAAAGUAAUAAUCUUUUAAUUUAACAAUAAAAAUCUAAGACAUUAAAAUACUACUCCCUCCGUUUUUUAAUAUUUGACGUUUUGACUUUUGACACACAUCUUUAGGUGAAUUGACCGGAUAAUAUAAAUUAUUAUUUUUGAUUGAUUUUUUUUUUGUGAAUAAAAAUUUUGAUUAUAUAUUUUUAUUCAAAAAAAAAUUUAAAAAUAAUAAUUUUAACUACUUGGUCAAAAUACUUAAAGAUACAUGCCCAAAAUCAAAGCGUCAAAUAUUAAAAAACAGAGGGAGUAUAUUGUUGAUAUGAAAAUUAAAAGAUGGGAAAUUCCUAAUGGUACCAUUGUAGAAUUGGCUUUUCCAAAUGGUACCAAUGACUAUUUUGGGCUUCCAAGUGGUAACACCCAACUUUUGACUUCAUCCGGCACAUACCACUCUGUUAAUCAAACGUUAAUCAAGCUGUUAAGUAGUAACUAAAACCAUAUUUCCCUCCAAAAUACUGUUACCAGCAAGUUAAUACAAUAUCCAAAACAACCAACAAGUCUGAAUCAAAUAAUUUCUACAGAAGUUUCACAAAUGUCCCAAAAUAUGUUCUAACCAUUUAAAGCAUAAUAAGCAUAAUAAAACAGAUCUGAUUUAAGGCUGGGAUUGAGAUAGUGGACAUUGAGACAUGUUGAUUUCAGUGGACUGUGAUGUGUUUCCCUCUUUAGUCUGAUCUGAAGCUUUCUUUUUCAGAGCUGCAGCCGCUUUCCCUGCCUUGGAUUGAUCCCUAAUUCUUGGAUGUCUAACCACUAUUGGUCCAUUCCCUGCUGCCUUCUUUUCUUUUGCAGUCAAACCUCCCUUGCAAGUUCUUGAAUUGUGGCCAAGGCAGUCACACUUAGUGCAUUUCACUGUUUUUGCUCUCUUCCCUUUCUGGUUUUCUCCUUCUUCCCUUUUCCUGUUUCUGCUUGGUCUCCCAACCCCUCUCUUCAUUGCAGGUGGCAUGACAAUAGGUAGAUCAUCAUAUGCAGGCCAUUGGCUUUGGUCAGGUAUGGGGUUAAUGCUAAAACUAUAACAAAGUUUGUAUGUCCUAACAGAGUACCAUGCACUAACAACAUUGUGAGGAUCAAUCUUGGCAUGAACCAUAGCCCUUAUGGCAUGCCUACAUGGGAUGCCACUAAUCUGCCAAGCUCCACAAGAACAGAUCUUGUUAUUUAAAGAUAAAGGAAAGUGAGAUUUACCCUCAUGAAUUUCAUACUCUCCUGGACUAGACAUAUAUGCUUUGCAGCUUAUAGUGUCCUUGCUAAUAGCUUUCAACACCUUCUUUAUCUUUGGACAAAGGUCAUCAUCCUUCCAAGUCAUGGCAGCUUGACUUCUUGUGGCAAUUCUUACCAUGCACACUCUUCUAAUACUUGUUUCAAGCAAAUUAUAUAAUUAGGAAUAUCAAUGCAAAAAUAUGACAUGAAGAAUACAAACAUGUAUAUACCUUCAAGUAAAGUCAAGACUGGUCUGCAUCUAUCAAUUCCAAGAGUGGAAUUGAAACUCUCCACAAAGUUUGAAGUGUUGGAAUCAUUACAUACAUUAGGAUCAAAUUUGUGUUUACUCCAACCAGCAGGAUCUCCUAGCUCUGCAAAAAAUUUCAUGACACUAUCACCACCCACUUCUUUCAGCUUUUCCAUUGCCUUCCUAUAUGUGAACUGUGAUGUGGCAUUACAAGCCCUCCAAAACAGAAUAUAGAGCAAGGGACCAGAAAAUUGUUUUUUGUAAUUUCUGGAGAUGUGUCUACAACAAUAUCUCCUCUUUACAGUUGGCCAUACNCAAUGCACCCAAUGCAUUAUGAGUAUUAUACAAUCAUAUUACACCCAAUGCACCAGUUAACAGUUAUGAGUAUUAUACAUAUCAAUGUAUAUUAUGCAAACCCAAAAAACCUCAUUUACAGGGGAGUCAAAAACUGUUAACUAUCAUACAUAAACACAUAUACACAUAUAAACUCGCACAUAUACGCAGAUAAAACCUAAAACAAUGAAUUAAGCCGCGAAAGAUAUAUAUGUAUCGAUUAUAUAGAGUAAUUGAAGGUGAAAUGCAUACCUUAUAUUUUGAUCACUGUUGAAUUAAGUAGCGAAUGGCUGUAUUGUUUUGUAUCUCGAUCAAUCCCCUCCGUGCAGCAGAACCCUAAUCCUGUGUGCGUGUUUGAUUCUGUGACAUUAAACCCUCGUACCCGACUAAUGACCCAAAUAGCUGUUUUUUUACUUUUAAUUCAUUUUAUUUUAAUUACUUUUUUUAAUUAAAUCAUAAUGGAUUAACGUUUUAUUAACGUUAACUAAACGGAGUGGUAUGUGCUGGAUGAAGUCAAAAGUUGGGUGUUACCAUUUGGAAGCCCAAAAUAGUCAUUGGUACCAUUUGGAAAAGCCAAUUCUACAAUGGUACCAUUAGGAAUUUCCCUUAAAAGAUUAAACCACAUUAGAGUAAUAUGAUAUGUAUAUGUUCACAAGAGAUACCAAUGAUUUACGAUGUCAUUUCUUCAUGUAUUUGAUGAUGUUGGAAUAUUAUGUCACUUUAUUAGUAAUAUUAUUCAUUUUCUCUUUAUUUUACAUGUGCUGGAGAAGAUGAAAUUUUCAUGGAGAAGUAAAAGGUUAUGCUCGUAGAAGUCACACUUCAGAAAGAUAUUCUCGGAUCUUUGUGCUAGUUCAUAUACAAUUAAAUCUCUAUUAAUUAAUAAUGGAAUAAUAACCUUGUAAAAAUAAUACUUUUUACCAGUUUCAAUAUAAUAACAAAAACAGUAUUUCUAUAAAAAUAAAGUCGGUGAAUUAUUUUUUCCUCUUCGACCCAAAACUAUUACUCCCUCCGUCCCACAAUACAUGUUUCUUUUGGAAGAAUUUUUUGUCCCAUCAUACUUAUCCAAUUUUAGUUUCCAAUGCAAAUAUAUUGGCAUUAUUCCAAAAUUACCCUUCUUGAAAGUUGUAUAACAAUUAAUAAGGGUUGAAUAGGAGUCUACAUUCAUACAUUAUUAAGGGUACAAGUGAGAAAUUUUUAUCUAAUUAAUGUUUUCUUAAUAUGCGUAAAUUUUUCAAAAGAGACAUGUAGUGUAAGACAGAGGGAGUAUUUUAAAGAUCCACAAUUUCUCGUAUAAACAUCCAAAUUUUGGUUCAGCUGGUUAAAGAGGGGACAAGUAUCUUUUUGGUUACAAGCGGUGAGAUGGUUGAAUGCUUCUGUGAAGGCUAGUCUGUUCAAAUUCACGUCUGCCAAACGCUCCUUCACUUUUAUGAUUUCAGCAUCUACUUUAACACUCUGCUUUAUGAAUUUAUCAUGUUCUCUCAGCAGCUUUUCUGGUUGCUUUCCCGCAGGGUUAUGAUCCUCUCCCGGCUCUUUCAAAUAUUUCAAAAAAUCUCGCACUGCUUCGUUGUCAUGACCCUUAAAAUUUUCUAUUGCUUGCUCAUAGGUAAUCUUUCUUGGCACCACAGCUAACAAUUUGUCCACUCUUUUGAUCAAGUCUUUAUAGUCCACUGCCACUAUUUUUUCCUUUUCUGACCCUUUAUUAUCUUUUCCCUCCAGCCUUUCAAUUUGCUCUUUCAUUGCCUUCAAUUCUGUUUCGGCGUUAGUUAUUUUUCUAUCUUUGUCUCUCCCUUUUCGUGCUAGAACCUAUUCGACUUCUCUUCUAUCUCUGCACUCCGGUCUGCCUCUGGCUCAGAACCCUUAAAUGAUGGAUCAGAUAUGCCAAACAAUGCACUGUAUGAUUCCACUUUUAAGUAGUUUCUAAGGUGAAGUAGUACAUUUUGCAACUUAUGUUCUAUUUAUAAGCUAACUCAAACACGCACAUGUAGUCGGGUUAUUCUAGACUGUUAAUUAUAAUAGGGUUUCACUGCUUAUAAGCUAAGUCAAACACGCACGUACAGUUGUGUGUUAUUCUUUAAUUAUGAUAUAGUCGGGAUGUCUUAAUUUUAGAGUCUGAGGCUAACGCUAGUUUGCACAAUCCACACAGAGUCUUGAAAAACUGCAACAAUAUAAAAUGGAAACAACAUUGAUUUGCUGCAUGAGCUAAACAAACAAAAUACGAACAUACAAUGAAAAAAUAGACAAUUCCAAUCCAAUCCCAAAUGAAGACACGCACAAAACAUAAUCCCAAACAAAGACAUGCACAAAUCAACUCAGAACACAAUUCUACUAUUCCACACCGAAUUAAAAAUUGUACGAGAUUCUUCUGGAUGCAAGCUUUACUUAAUUUCCAGACAAGUAGUCCAUAGAGAAAAUAUUAAAAGGCAACACACAGAGGAAGAAGAGAAGAUGGUCUGUGGACGAAAUAUUUUUGUGAAAUGACACGGACUUUCUCGUCUCCUGCAGCAAAUACACCAAUCAGCUUACUGUUUCUUACUGUAUGUUAUUUGCUCCUUUCACUCUUCGAAUGAAUUAUGUGCUUUCAUGACUGCAACACAUUUCACAAGUUUUGCCAACCUCGAUUCUCUUUCACCCUUGUAAGUCCACCCACGUUUGAUGAUGCCUGAUAAAUUACUCCACAUAUUUAUCAGAGCAACGUCAUCAUCACUCAAUUUAGUGUUUGAUGUACUUGUGUAGCACUUCUUAAUGUGAUCUGCAAUUGGUAUAAAUCUCGUAGCUUCACAUAUCAUCACCACUAAAUGUGUAAUAUGUUUAGCCAAAUCUUUAUGAUCAUCCUCAUCAAAUGGGUACUGAGUGAGAUGCUCAAAUGCGUCGAUUAAGGCUUGUCUGUUCACAUCAAUUUUUUUAAUCUCUUCGUUGGCAACACUGUAGGUGGCACCAGUUCCAAAAUGCUGAAGCAGCUCCCCCAAGGUUGUGGAUAUUUUGUUCAGGUCGUCACAGAACUGAUACAGAUCCUCAGCCACCGUCACUGCACUAUAUAAACUUAUAAUGCCCUUAUCUAAUUUUUCAAUUUCCAUUUUCAGCUCUUCAAUCUUCCCAUUCAUUUGCUGCAGCUGACAACAUUUCUCUUUCAAGUUUCCCGCAAGUCCCUUUUUCAACCCUCUGGUAGAUUCAUCUUCCUCGGGAAUUUCUUUUUCAAGUAAUUUAAUCAGCUCAAUCCUUUGGAGGAGUUCAUCUUUUAGCUGUGCUUCUGUUUUUGCGUUUGCUUUCUCUUUCAGCUUUUUUUCUUGUUCAGCCUUCCUUUCCGGUAUAUCUUUGGGUUUAUCUCCCGUUUUCAAUGUAACUGUUAUUUUGUAAUCAAUGGAAUCAAAGAUUUUGACUGCUCUUCGGAUCUCGUUGUUCCAAUUUUUGAGCCAUUGAUGGAAUUCACUAAAGAAGAUUAUUUGUACAAAAGAUAUAUAUUAGUAAAAAAAAUUAUGACCUCACGAGUGGCAUGCAUUUUAAUGCUUUUGUAAAUCAUAGUUUGAUAAAUUAUUUUGAACUUUUUUCUUCUGUAGAAAAUGAAAAUUUUAGGAAAAAAUUAUGCACCAAUAUUUUAUAUGCACUUUAAAAUGCGUGUCAAGUAGUUAAAAAUAUGUACCUUUCUUGUGUUUCCGCAUCUGUUCCGUGCUGCCCUUGGCCCAAAAAAACCUUAUGUUUUACUUCCAGCAUUAUCAUAAGCUUUUUCAUGGCAAUGCUGUCUGAUAUCUUACUCAGAUUUCCUAAUCUCUCUCCCCAAAAUUUUUUAAACUCGUCGGUUUCAGCAUCCGCAGGCUCACUCGCCUUCCAGGAAUACCUAUUUUUGGCCAGCCAAUAUAUCAAGUGGUCCGCUCUUUUCAACUGCUCAUCAAGUUCGGGUUCGUAAGUCUCUUCCUUUCCCCUACCUGUUUCCAUCGUCUGCUUCACUGUCUCUAGUAUUUGAACAGCGUACUCUGUUUUCUCCACUCCGUUUAUUAAAACUUUCAUCCUAUUUGUUAAUUUAUUGUACAGGUUUGUGACCAGCACCUUUUGCUUCUUUGUUUCAAAGUCUGAAACAAAUGCGCUAAUCAAUGACUGAUAUGAUGGACCCAAUUUAACUUUUUUUAGCUCGUCUGCAAUACAAAAACACAACUCCAAAUCAAACAGAUAAUAUUAGGAUACAACAUAAGACCUUAACCAAAAAUAUAUAUCUUACAGGAAGUUUGGAAUUGCUUAAGAUACUCAACAGCUGCAGCAGUCGUCUUAACAUCUUUCUCCUCGCUUAGAAUAAUCCAGCAUUCAGCAUUGUCAUCUAUCUCCGUCUCAUCAUCAUUGGAUUCAGCAUUGUCAUCUAUCUUCCCCUUAUCAUCUUUAUUCACAGUAGCUUCUUCCUUCUUCGGUUUAUAUUCCCUUCUGUAUCCGACCAAGUACAAACUACUUUUGUGUAUCAAAAUGUGCAAAUCGUAUUGCUCAUAAGUUAACUUUACUUGGAAAAACUUUUCAGCUGAACUGAUGUUACCUUCAAUUAAGGUUUCUACAACAGAAACUUUACCAAGGUUGUCAUCAAUCACUUCAGUAACAAUGCUUUCUACCCCAAGACAUGAUUUGAUUUUGUCCUCGAUGUCUUCAAGUGUCUUAGAUUCUCGAGUGCCACUAAGUUUCCGAUUUGGAUUUAGUGGCUUAAAUUCAUCGAUAAUGCUUUUGAUGAACUUACCGUAUUCAUCACCGUCGUCUUUGCUAAGGUCUAGAAUAUGCUGUUUAUCUUCAUCAGAUAAAACCACAGUGGGAGGAGAGUGUGUUUUUGUCAUAUAAGCUUUCAAGAUAUUAGAAAGUGAAGAAAGAUGCAGUGUUCGUCUUCAUUAAAUUAGCCCACUUUAUAGUUUUUACAAGUCUUACUGGAUCCUACACCUGAAAGUCUGCAAAAUAAUACUCCCUCCGUCCCACCAGAUUCUUUACAGUUUCCUUUUUGGGAUGUCUCAUCCAAUUCUUUACAUUUCAAAACUUACCAAAAAUAGUAAAUGGGUCCCACCACUUUCCAACUUUUUCUUCCUUUUCACACUACUUUUACUCCCCUUUCACACUACUUUUACUCCACUAUCUCUCUUUUAUACAUUAAAAAUUGAUGGGUCCCGCCAUUUCACCCACUUUUCUUUCUCUUUUCCACUACUUUAUACAUAUUUCUUAACCUCCGUGCCCAAACCAAACGUAAAGAAUUGGCUGGGACGGAGGGAGUAACAAACUGUUUAAGGUAUGUAAAAGUGUACGAAUAAUCUUAUUAUUGAACACAAAUUGUCACUGCUUUUUUCUUUUUGCCCUUUGAAGCCGAAAGACACGCCAUGAAUGAUCAUUCCCAUUAGUACUGUAAGUUGCUUGUCAGGAAAAAGGAAAAACAAGUAUAUGAAGCAUGGAUUAUUCAAAUUAAGUUGCGCCGAUUGUUCAUACUGUCGCGCUCAUUUGUUUGAAUUUGGUGAGUUAGAAAUUAUAUAAAUUACUGGAAAAAAAUGUUGGGAAUCAAUUAUUUUAUCCAUCACACAAGUCUGUCAUGGAAAUGAUGAUAUUGGUGAAAAGAUUAUGAUAUAAUUAACUUUUCAGUUGUUACCAAUUAUAACAGAAAUGACGCUUUAUUAUCAAGCAAGUUUCUCUCUUUCUUUCGUCAAAAGACAAGCAAAUAAUUAUAAUAGACAUGAGACUUCAUUCUCAAGCUUCUCUCUUUCUUUCGUCAGAAGACAAGUAUACAAGAGCAUCUCCAGCACAGUCCCAACAUGUUCCCUAAAUAUAUAAUAAAAUAUGUAUUUUGUAAGGGAUUAUUACUACAUUUUAUUCAAUGGAAACUCCAACAACAUUCCCUGUUUGUAUUCUCUAUUAUUAUUAUUGUAACAUUAUAUUCAACUUGUAAGUAGGAGAGAGAAAUGAGAGAAAAAGUGGGAAAAAGGAGAAAAGUGAAUAUUUUAUUAUUCAAAAUAGUAUGAAGAAUGGUUCCACAGUCCUUAAAAAUGAGGAAUGAAGUGGACAUUCUAACUUUUUAAGGAAUUGCUAGGACUCUACUCGAGUUGUGUUUUAUGUCCUAUUCUUUAUUAUAAUAGUUUAGGACAUCAUAUAGCUAAGCCGUUGGAGAUGCUCUAAAAUAGCAAACAAUAUGACUCGUAUUCCUUAUUUGUUAAAUCGUCAAAAUAUAUUUAAUUACGUUAUUUAUAUUUUAUAAUAUGACUUUCCCUAUUUGCUAAAUAUGUCAUCUCUAAUAUCUUCAAAUUUUCAAAAUGCAGUCAUGCUUUAGUUAAAGUUGAUACCAUUCUUUUCAUGGCAGAAAACAUGGUGAACACUUGAGUGCUCCUUGCCCCAGCCAAAAGGAAAAAGUAUGAAAAUGAGUAAUCGGUGUGUAUCCUUAAAUAUAACACGCCGGCUUUUAUAUUUGCGCACUCACUAUCGCUUCCUAGUACCAUGGUUGAGUUAUUUUUCUGGUUGUCAGGCUUUGGAACUUUCUAAGGCACCCUAUUGUUUCGUUGGCAGUGAUGCAAAAGCUGCUGCCAGAUAAUGAGGUCGUUUGGACAAUUUUAAAAAAAGUGAUUUCUCGCUUAAACACUAUUCAUUCACGUCUGCCAUAUGUUCCUUCACUCUUAUUAUUUCAGCAUCUCCUUUAACACUGUUCUCCAUGGAUUUACGUUGCUCUUACGCAGGCUUAUGAUGAUCCUCUGGCAGCUCUUUUAAAUAAUUUAAAAAAUCUAGCGAUGCUUUGUCGUCGUUACCCAUAAGUAAUAUCUCUUGGAACCAUAGCUAACAAUCUGUUCACUCUUUCAAUUGUUGGGCCGUAUUAAUCUAAACAUAUUUAUGAGCUUACUGCACUUUGCAACCCUCUACUUUGCUCGAAAAACACUUUGGUACAUAGACUUUGAAACGUGUCAGUUCGCCUCAUUAACUUAUAAUUAUCCUGCAGUUUGCACCCGUUAAUCGUUUUCCGUCUGUGGUCAAACUGUCAACGUUAAAUUGGAGGAUAAAACUGUAAUUUCACAUUUUAAAUUAAAAGAAAAAAGAAAAUACAAUCGUGCAUUACUCUCGAGCUCAUAGACACUUCGCUUCACUUCCCUCCAUCCCCAAAUAUCACUUUCCCUCCUUCCUGCUUUCACCCACCAUUCUGUACGAGUUUGAAGAUCGAUUUGGAGUUUGAAGAUCGAUUUGGAGUUUGAAGAGGGAAACAAUGCGAGGUCGUCUACGAGUUACCAGUUUCGCUGAUGAUCCUUUAAAUGGCUCCAGCAAUAUGACCUCUUACAAGGGCUUCGAAAUCCCUAAAUAUGGAGGCAAGUUUCAUCUUUGUUCAUCUAUUUUAUAUGUAUUUUGAUUGCGCGAACUAUUUUGCAUGCAUGUGGUUGUUUUUGUUAGGGUUAGGGUUUAUUGAUGUCCGAUAUAUAUUGUUUAUUGUAGUGGACUGUGGUCCCUUUAUGUUUGCUUUUUUAUAUUUGUUGUUGACAGUGGGUUGUUGCCUUCUUUGAAUACUAUUGAAUUUUUUUGCCUAAAAUAGCAUUUUCCCCCUUUAAAUCGCCUCAAUUUAAUGUAGUAACAUGGCUGAAUUUGUUAUGUUCUGUAGAGCAAUCACGGUACUUUACAAUUGCACUGCAUCACAGUGGAGAUUUUAAUGAGACUUCUACAGAAUAUGUUGGUGGCAAGCUUGACUAUUUUGACAUGUGUAGUGUACUGGAUAUGACAAUGUCUGAGAUAAAUGCAAUGAUUGGGGAAUUAGGUUUUUCUGCUGAUGAUACUCAAUUGUAUGCAUUGAUCCCAGAAAAUAUAUUGCCAGAUGGUUUAUACCCUUUAGAAAGUGAUACUGAUGUGGACUAUUUAACAACUCUAGUGGAAUACACUCACUGUCAAAUUGUAUAUGCCACUAAGAGAAGAAUUAAUGUUGCACAUGAUCUUAUGGACUUUUCAUUUACUCAAAUGUAUGAAGAUGAGAGGGUGGAUAGAAUAGAGAAGAUGAGAGAUGAAGUAGAACCUAUGGAAAAUGACAGUGAAUCUGAGAAUGGUGAUAGUCAGGAUGAAGAAGAAAAUGUUGGAGAUGAAGAAAAUGAGUGUGACUAUGGUGAUUUCAAUAGUAACAGUGACAUAGAGAAUGAUUAUGAAGAUUCUGAAGAUUCUGAUUAUGUUUGUGAUGAGAUUACUGAUGAAGUUACUGAAAAAGAGGAGAAAGAAAAGCAUACUACUAGUGAGCCAGCAGUUAAAAGGAGGAGAAGAAUACCUCCACCCAACCCUCCAUACAGGACUAGAAAAAGAGGGAGAUAUUCUAUGCUAAGAGUAAGUUUCAUUGCAUUUAUAUUCUAUUUAUGUGAAAUUUAUGUGCUUUUCAUUGGAUUUAUGUGAUAUUUUAUGUCUUUUUUGAUGCAGGGUUUGUUUAAAAACACUGAAGAUACACCUGUUAUUGUGGAUGAGGAAGAUGAUCAGCAUGUUCCAGAUGAUAAGAAGGGUAAGAACAGAUGUGUUGAUUUAAAAGGAAAGAACAAGUCUGUUGAGGUAAAAGGAGAGCCUAAGAAAUUGGCUAAAAAUCCCAGAGGUAAGAAGAGUAGCCCUCUUAAGAAGUCCAGACCUCCAAGCAAAGGGAAGAAUGUGGUGAAUCCUAGACCUAGUGCUUUGAAGCAACCUCCAAGCAAAGGGAAGAGUGUGGUGCAUUCUGCAAAGAAAAAAAACAAGAGAGUCAGAUUUAAAACUUCUGACACAGAAGAGGAUGAGGAGAAGAAAUUUGAAGAUGAGGAUGAUGAGAUUGCAGAAGAAAGUGGCAGUGAGAGCUCAGAAAGUUUAUAUGACAGUAGUGAGGAAAGAAUUGCAUUGAGUUCCCGUGAUGAAGAUGAUUCCACAUACCCUGAAUUUAAUGAAGAAAUUGAUAUGGAUGACCCUCAGUUUAAAAUAGGGAUGCUUUUUAUAAAUGGACCAGCUUUUAGGGCUGCUAUAAGAAAGCAUGCCAUUGUCAAUCAAAGGCCAGUUAGGUUGAGGAAGAAUCAUGGUAAAAGGAUCAAGUGGAUUUGUUCUGGAGGGUGCAAGUGGAAAGUGUAUGCAACACAACAACAAAGAUCUUCAAGUUUCCAGAUCAGGGCUCUCCAUAAACAGCACACAUGUAAUCCUACCUGGGACCAGAAGCAAGUAAAUUCAACCUGGAUUGCUAGGGAAUAUGAAGAUGAGAUCAGGAUGAACCCUGAUUGGCCAGUAGCUUCUUUUAGAUCCAAAGUUGUGAAUGAUUUAAAGUGCAAUAUUAGUGAUUCAAUGAUCUACAGAGCUUUGAGAAAAGCAAAAGAGGUGAUUAAAGGGAAGCAUGAAGAAUAAUUCAAGAAAGUAUAUGACUAUGGCAAUCAAUUAUUGAAGGAGAUGCCAACUUCCACUGUGAAAGUUAUGACUGAACAUGAAGCAGAUGCUACAAGGUUUAAGAGGCUGUAUGUAUGUCUAGGGCCACUGAAAGAGGGGUUUAUACACUAUUGUAGACCCCUUAUAGGUUUAGAUGGAUGCCAUUUGAAGGGUCCAUAUGGGGGAAUACUUUUAACCGCAGUAGCCACUGAUCCAAAUGAUGGUAUUUUCCCAUUAGCUUGGGCCUGGGUAGAAGCUGAAAAUAAUGAUUCUUGGGAGUGGUUUAUUUCCUUGCUGAAAGCUGAUUUAAGGAUUGAAAAUUCAGGGGCAUAUACCUUCAUAUCUGACAGGCAGAAGGUAAACUCUAUUUAUGUGUAUUUUUUGCUAAUUAAUGUACAUAUCUUUGUGUGGUUUCUAUGCUUAAUAAUCUGGUUUUAACAGGGACUUGUGAAUGCUCUGGAAGCUCUAGUUCCACAGGCAGAAAUGAGGUUCUGUUGCAUGCAUUUAUAUGCAAAUAUGAAGAAAGAACACAAAGGCACUGGAGUAAGGAGGUUUCUAUGGUAUGCAGCAAGAGCAACUAGUGAGUAUUAUUUCAAGAAAAACAUGGAAGCUUUGCAGAAGGUAUAUAUCUAUAUCUCCAAGCUUUGCAAAUUUCCUAACAAUAACUAUAUCUCCUAAUUGUUUUGCAAAUUUCAUAACAAUUUAUGAUAGCUCAAUGCUAAGGCCUAUGAAUGGUUGAGUGCAAGACCUAGAAGUCAGUGGAGCAGAAGUGGUUUCAGGGAACAUUGCAAAUCUGAUAUGUUUGUAAACAAUAUAUGCGAGGUCUUCAAUAAUGCCAUAUCCAAAUAUAGAGAUAUGGGCAUCAUUACAAUGUUCAAAGGAAUCCACCUCAGUUGCAUGCAAAGGAUACAAAAAAGAAAAGCCAAGAUGGAAAAGAGGAAUGGCAAGUGGUGUCCAAAUGCAAUUAAAAUGCUCAACAGGUACACACUAUAAUCUCUACACUGUAUAAAAUGCAUAUAAUUGCUUAUAAAUCUGUAGACUGUAUAAAAUGCAUAUAAUUGCUUAUUAAUUAGACUAUUUUACAUAUUGAAGCUCAAUCAAAUUAGCCGCGAAAGCUAGGCCAGUUUGGAAUGGUGGUGACAAAUAUCAUGUCACCAUGACAGUAGGGGGCCAUGAGAUAGUUGUUGACUUGAAUAACAGGACAUGUGCUUGUAGAAGAUGGCAAUUAACAGGCAUUCCAUGCCAUCAUGCUGUUUCAUGCAUUUAUUUCCAAAAACAAAAUCCAGAAGACUAUAUACAUGCCUGCUAUGAAAGGGAGAAAUUCAUAGGCUUGUAUAGCAAUCUUCUAGAACCAAUCAAUGGUGAAGAAUUCUGGGAAGCUACAAAUCAGCAAAGUAUCCUUCCACCAGUUAUUAAAGUAGCUCCCGGAAGGCCAAAAAAAAAGAGAGAUAGGAAAAAUGAUGUUGUAGAAACUAGGGAGAAUGAUCCUACCAUGCUCAAACGGAAGGGGACCACUUUAUCGUGUGCAUGGUGUAAGGAGUAUGGCCACAAUGUUAGGAGUUGUAAAACGAAGGGAUGUUCAUGUCUUUCACCUGCUAUUUAUCGUGUGACCACUUUAUCGUGUGCAUUGUUUGUUGUUUUUUUGUUGCAGAAACUUGAAAUGGCAAGAAAAUCACAGGAGGAAGGUGAAAAUACUGAAACUACUGCUGCAGCCCCAGUCCAGGAAAAUGCAAGUAAUGAAGCUACAGAAAAUAAUGCAGCAUUCUCAGUCGAAAGAAAGAAGAAGACUUGUUCCUAUUGCAAGAUUGCAGGACACACUGUAAGAUCAUGUUCUGCAAAGGUAUUCAUUCUUUUGCUACAUCUUUUAAAUAGUGUUUCUUUUGCUAGAUUUGUUCUUAUUUUCUUUCAUUUUCGACUAGAAAAAUGAUGAAGCUUUUGAUGGGGAGGGGGUGAUGGAUCAUGGAGAGAACCUUGUUCAGGAAGCCAUGUCAGCUACUCACACACAUGCCGGAAUUGUCAACCAAUUUCGAGCACCUAGACAAUAUCCAGGGAAGGCUCCGUUAGGUGUUGAACCUGAAAAUUACAACACAAAGGAUGGGAAGAUGUACACCUCUCAGAGGAAGCUGACAGAGGCAUUGCAAAAGAAGAAGAAAGAGGUCGAAGCUAAAAGGCCAGAGAAGUAGUUGUGUUCAUGUUCAGUAGCUAAAAUGUGGCUUCUUUUGGAACAAAAAAUUGUGCCAUAUCAUUUUGUCAGUUAUUUGAUGUCUGAUAUCAUCAAUUUUAGCAUCCAGACUUAAACAAGUUGCUCCUGUGAAGCAUACUUUUGUUGGAAUAUUGAAUAUUUUGUUGGAAUGUUGGAUAUUUUGUUGGAAUAUUGAAUAUUUUGUUGGAAUAUUGAACCAUUUCGCUUCUUAAACUUGUACCAUUACAGUACAAUAUUCAAGAUGAGAACAAUACAGGAAAUUAAGAACAUACAAGCUACCAUACUACAUUUCUGCCUCACUUUUUUUAGAGAACAAAUACACGCAAAUUAUAAUCCAAGUCAAUAGCAAUAGUAAAGCAGUUUUGUUGCAUGGCAUGUCCGUCUUUUGCUUCUUCACUUCCAAAGCCUUCACUUCACCUUCAAGGACAUUAAUCCUUCUUAUCAGGCCGGGUAUUAUCAUCCUAGCACGUUCACAAAGCGGACCAUCGACCCAACGAAAGUAAUUACACACCUGAUCCGGACAUCCAGCAAAUCUUUUUCCGCUGUUUAUUUCCGUCCAAGCUGUGCGAACAACCACCCAUUUAUUACAGAAGCAUCGCUCAGCCAUAACAAAAAGAUUUAAGAGAAGAAGAAGAUAUAUGCAGUAUACAAAUGCUGCAUCACCCACAUAUAUAUAUGAAGUAGUGCUGCCAAAAAGAGCCGUUAGCUUUUUGAACAAUUAACGUUAAUUGGCCAAUGUAACGGUCAGGGGCAAACUGCUAACGGUUUCAAAAUUAAUGAGGCAAACUGACACGAUUCAAAGUCUAUGUACCAAAGUGUUUUUCGAGCAAAGUAGAGGGUUGCAAAGUGCAGUAAGCUCCAUAUUUAUUUAUUUAGCUAACAAUCUGCUUAAUUUUUAGGAAAAAAAAAAAACAGUCUGCCAGCACUUGUUAACGUUGGUAUGUUUGAAUAAGUCUCAGGUAGUUACCUGGUUUGUAGGAGUGUGGGUAGAGUCAGUUAUCUGAUUUGUCUGCUUUCCAUAUCAAGCUCUUCCUUUCUCCACUAAACCUAACCCUAAUUCACAAUUAUUAUCUUAAUUGUGAUUUGUAUGUGUAACCAACAUCAAGCUCUUUAUUAUCUUUUCCCGCUUUCAGUUUUCUCUUUUAUUAGCUUCAGCAAUGGCGGCCAAGAGAGGAGCUCUUCUCACAAUGACUUGUUUCAGCUUAAGGCCUCUCAGUGUAAGCCCCUGUUCUCUCUCAUCCUCUCUUUUUCGUUCUCAUUUUCUUCUUUUCUCUACUAAACCUCACCCUAAUUCACAAUUUAAAGCCCCCUUUAUUCCUUCUCCAUCCACCACUCAUCCCAAACUUAAACAAUUACUCUAUCAUAAAUCUAAAGUUGGUUUUGAUAAACUCGAAGAUGCUCUUCUUCUGUUCGAUAAAAUGCUCCGUCUGAAAUCUAGGCUUUCUGUUGUGCAUUUCACACAACUGUUAACCGCCCUCGUUCGAAUGGAAAAGUACUCUGUUGCCGUCUCCAUGUUUAGAGAAUUCCGUGUUUUAAGCAUUCCUGUUGAUAUUGUUACCUUUAAUACCGUCAUCCAUUCCUGUUGUCACUUGAAUACACUUGAUUAUGCCUUUUCGUUGCUUGCUGGAAUCAUCAAGAGUGGUUGGGUACCCGAUGUCUUUACCUACAACACUCUCAUCAAGGGCCUUCUAUCUCAAGACAAGCCUUUGGAGGCUGGGGAUUUGUUUAAGAAGCUUAUCACAUUUCAAGAAAUUCAGCCCAAUGUAGUUAUGUAUAACACCAUCAUUGAUGGUCUCUGCAAAACUUCAAAUACCUCCAUGGCUCUCAAGUUAUUAAGAAAGAUGGAGGAGAUAGGUUGUAACCCCGAUGCGGUAACUUAUAACUCCAUUAUUGAUUCUUUGUGCAAAGAGAGACGAGUCGAUCAAGCAUUGGUUCUUGUGUCUGAAAUGACCGGCAAAGGCAUACCACCCAAUGUUAUAACAUAUAACACGCUACUUCAAGGCCUUUGCAGCUCCGGCCGAUGGGAGGACACUGAGUGUUUGUUAACUGAGAUGGGUGUUAGGAAGAUCUCUUCAGAUUUGCACACCUAUAAUAUAUUAGUCGAUGCAUACUGCAAAGAAGGGAGGACAACAUAUGCAGAAGAUGUGAUUGAAAUUAUGAUCCAGAAAGGUGUGCCUCCUGAUUCAAUCACAUACAAUGCACUGAUGGAUGGUUAUUGUUUAACAGGCAAAAUGGACAGGGCACUAGAGGUGUUGAAUUACAUGAGGAGUAAUGAGAUAUGGCCAGACUGUUAUAGCUAUACCAUUCUGAUAAAUGGCUAUUGUAAGAGGCAGGAACUAGACAAAGCCAUCAGUCUCCUCAGACAAAUGUCUGCUGAAGGUCUGAAACCUGUAGUUGAAACCUACAAUACACUGAUGCAUGGUCUCUUUCAGAUGGGCAGACAUAAUGAGGUGGACAACCUUUUCCAUGAAAUGCUAAAAGAAGGUAAUAAACCAAAUAUUGUGACAUGUCGAAUUUUGUUGGAUGGCCUUUGCAAGAACCGAUACAUGGAUGAAGCAAUUUCCUUCUUUCGAGUGAAUGAAUGUAAAGGUAUAGUUCAUGAUAUUCAAAUACAUAAUAUCCUAAUUGAUGGUCUCUGCAAGAACAGAAAACUUGACGAGGCCAGAAAUAUUUUUGAUAAGCUUGCUUCGAGUGGUCUGCAACCCAAUGUCAUGACACACAAUAUAAUGAUCAGAGGACUGUGUCAAGAAGGGUUAUUUGAGGAAGCAAAGGAAUUACUUUCUAAAAUGGAAACAAGCAUUUGUUUGCCUGAUGAUGUGACCUAUAAUAAGAUCAUCCGUGGAAGUCUUUUGAAUAAAAGAUAUGAAGAAGCAGCGGCUCGUAAAUUCUCAGAAGAUGCAUCCACCACAUCCAUGGUACUAGACCUAUUAUCUAAAGAACAGGACCCCUCCGUUCUUGCUUUCUGCAAAUGGUUUUUGCAAUAGGUACUGAAGUUUAUGGUUCAUUGUUAUGUAUUGUAUUGUCAUCUUUUAACUUCCUUAAGUUUUCUGCUGUAGUAAUAUGUUUUACUGAGCAAAGAAUUACUCUAAUUAGCAAUGUAAGGGGUUGCAUCAGUUUGUUAAGAGCUAAUAGACAAUAUAUUUGGGAUGGUAAGACUAUGUCUUCUAUUUGUAUUGAGUACGGUCUAUGUUCAAGUUGUCAUUCAGAAUUGAAACUUUGCAUCUCGAUGCCUCUCAUAUACAGAAAAAGAAAUCAGCAUUUGAAAAUAAUAAAAGAAGCCUAUGUAUUCAGAUAACUUUAUUCUGGAUAUACUCUCUAGCCCAUAUUUUGGCUUUCACAAACAAGCUCAUUUUUGAUAACAUAUUGGCAUUUUUCACCAUGGUGAGAGGGUAUCCAUUUAACAGUAAUAACAAGGUAACCACUAGAUUGGUGACAGGUUAGGUCCAGUUAUUGUAAGUUCAUCACCAUAUUUGAUUGAUAUUUACUGUUAUUUCCUAUGAUUGUGGCAAUUUGCUUCUCUUGCUCUACUUCAUGCUGGUCUUGCCUAUCACUGCGGAAAGUCAGCAGUUGCUGUUGGCCUCGUAUUGUUGCUGAAGUCGGCAUCUAUUCGGAUAUCUAAGAAUCUAAGGUUGUGUUCACUUGGAGUGAAUGGAAUGGGGGGAGAAUGAAAUGAAUUUUGUACUCAAAAAUGGUGUUGAUCAAAGAAAAUGUAUACAAUUUUCAUUCCUUCAAUCAUUUCAUCCCUACUAUUUUAACUAAAAUUCUAUCCUACAUGUUUUGGAAGGAAUGCUCAUUCCAUCUCUACAUCAUAUUUCUUUACAAUCUUUAUCACAAAAAAAUUGAACUCAUUCAUAUUUAGUCACUAUUAGCUCAUACUUUCUUCUUUCUCUACAAAAUUUCUAUAUAAUUUUUCAUUCCAUUCUCCCCUCAUUCCAUUCCAUCCAAGUGAACACAGCCUAAGGGUGUGUGGGGAUUGUCAUAUUGCAAUGACAUAUUUAAAAAAAGGUUUUUGAGAGUCAUAAUAUAUUAAGGGACUCAAAACUGUUCCCAGCAUUUCAAUGAAGAAAAAUGUUCUUGUGGUGAUUACUAGUACGAAGUUCUUAUAAUGUAUUUCCUCUCCAAUUUAUAUCUUGGUCAAGAGAAUGGAGGGAUCCAUUCCUUAACUCAUUGGUGUAUGAUAUAGACAUUGCAAAAUCAAACUCUGCUUGCACCCAUCCCGCUUUAACGUGAAGACGUAAGAUCACAAUCUUCCUGCUUUGUUAUGGCCCCUGCAGCUAAAUGUGUAUUCAGGUUAAAUCUGAAGGCACUGGAUGCCUCCCAUGACAGUUGAACAGGAGCGUAAUGUACAAUGGCACUGAGUUACAUUGAAGGUAUGUCAAAACUUUUUUCUUUUGACAAUUACAUAGCCCAGUAGAAAUAGUGUGUAGUGCAAAACUAAUGAAAAUGCGAUUGAUAAGUAAACAGAAUGGAAGGCAAAUUCAGUUUUCUUGUACUGAAUUUUGGUUCUUAUCAUCAUAUACCAGAGUAAUAUGCGACAAAAGCAAAUCAUUUGAUCCGUAAAUAUUUCUUAAAUAUCGGCUCUUGGAGUGUUUAUCUCAUCCUAUCAAUUUCCAGUGCAAUAUUAUUACCGUAUUGAAGCAAUGACUGAUAUAUCUUGACAUUUAAAUGCCAUAAUCGCUGAACUGACAGAUCAUUUCAUAAUCUGUGCACCACAAUUCCGAAUUAAUUUACCCAGCUAAUAGCGAAUGUGCUAUUGCUUGAAGAAAUAUCACAGACUUAAAAGCAUAUUUCAUGUUUUUUAGAAUAAAAAAUUAAAGUUUAGUAGAAAAAACAUGCACACAUCAGCAUAUAUAAAGCAUUUCAAGUUCACUUAUAUAAGAAAAUAUUUCAAAUUUAAUGGAGUUUUUAAUUGCUGACAAGGACAAGUAGUACAACAAUACACAAUUCACACAGUCUUCAGAAACAGCAACAACAUAAAAUGCAAACAACACUUUGUAGUUUGUAGUACCAAAUUCUUCCAAAUGCCAGCUUUGCUUUCCAGGCACAUAGUCCUUACACCCUGCUCCCGAGUUUUAAGUAGGGAGGAAAGCAAGUGAAGAGGAAGUAAAAUUAUCUAACUUUCACUCCUAUUCGUGCUCCCGAGUUUUUUAAAGGGACGAAAGCAAGUGAAAGUGAGUGCAAAUAUAGCAUAUUUUCACUCCAAAAGUGGGAUGAAAGUGAAAGCAACUUGCUUUCACUUACAUUCACUUGCUUUCCCUCCUAAAAAAAACUCGGGAGCAAGACCUUAGAGUCGCUAGCUGACCAGGAUCUGCAGAGAGGAAUAUUUUUUGGAUUGACGCGGACUUUCACUCCUCCUGAAACCAAAUAAUUGUUGCAAGGAUCUACUGUAACAGUUUUAGGCCUUAUGGAUACAUUUUUCAGCCGUUGCAACAGGUGAAAUAUGGUGUAGUGUGUAUUUACAAGUACACACUUUACAUUUAACUCUUUUAAUUAUUUCCAUAUAAAAGUGUAAAUUGAUUCUAUGUAUAUUAUUUUACUUAUUGGUUUGAAACUCUUCAAAUAUUUUUUAAUAAAUAAUUGUUAAAUAUUAACAUAUAUUUAUAUUUUAAUAUUUAGAUUACAAGUUAAAUGUCAAAUGUAAGGAUAUAUCAAAUUUAAACAAGUCAAAACUCGUUUCAAAAUUUAUUAGUUACAAAUAAAAUAUGUUGUUAUUAUAGGUAUGCAAAAUUCAUACUCAAUUAGAUCGACUAAUCACGAAAUUUAGAUCAAUUUAAAAUGACAUAAUUCGAGUUGUCAUUUUAAAUUUUCAACUUUAUGUUAGUAUGAUUAAUGCUACGUAUCCAAAUCUUCUCGCAAAAUUACGCAAAUAAAAUAUUUUAAUUGGAUGGUUUAUGUGCAUACAAAAGUCAUGUUAUUAGAAAAUUUUGAGAAUAAUUUUUGAGUAUUUACUAUUUUUCUACUAGUAUUUAAUGUGUUGGAAAAACACAAAUCCAAGGUGUAUUUAAACAUUUCAUUUGAUGAAAUCUAGAAUUUAAAUGAAAUUGAAGUGUAAAAAAUAUUACAAACUCAAUGAAAGAUUUAAUUGCCAUGGAGUCGUGGAUACACUUCUUGAUAAUAGAAUCCGUGUAUAAAUAUAACAGUUCACAAUUCACACAAACUUGAGAAAUAGCAGCAACAUAAAAUGAAAACAAACAAACAACGAUAAUUUGUUGCAUGAUCUUAACAAACAAAACAUGAAUGGACAAUCAAAAUGAACACUUCCAAGCCUGAACAAAGGCAUGCACAAUCACAAUCUCCAACAUAUAAUCAAUUCAGAACAAAAUCUUAUUCCACACUAAAUUAUAACGAGUAGUAGGUGAUUCUUCCGAAUAUACGGUACUAAAUUAUAACGAGUAGUAGGUGAAAGAAAUUUGUGAGUCCUCGCUAACAAACUAGGACCGAGAGGAAUAAUUUUUGGAUGUCUUUCUCCCCUCCUGCAGCAAAUAUAGCAAGUAGGAGGGUAAAUACGAGGGAGGAUGAAACGAAUAAAUAAACACAAGAGAUGAAAGAGUAUCACCGUGUAAAAAGACUGCGGAACCAACUAUACAGAACUACAACUUACUGUUUGAUAGUUGCUCCAAUUAUUCUAUAGAUACUUCUCUAAUAUACAUGCCCUUGAUGACUUCCGGAUCAUCUCCCAGCAAACUUGUUUCACCAGCGUACCACCCCCCACGUUGCAUUAAGGCUGAUCUAUGACUCCAAUUAUACACGGAAGUAAUACAUUUUUCAGAUAAAGAAGCAGUACGUGACCUUAUGGGUUGUUUCGAGGUAAUUGUUUGAAACAUGCUCUUUGACAUGUGGAAAUCUCGCAGCUUCACAUAUCAUUAUGGCCAACUUUAUAAUAUGAUUAGCGGUUUCUCUCUCGUUCUCACCAAAUGAGGACUUGGUGAGAUACUCGACUGCUUCUGUGAAGGCUAGUCUGUUCAACUUCACUUCUGCCAAACGAUCCUUCACAGCUUUGAUUUCAGCAUCUGCUCUAACACUCUGCAUCAUGAAAUUAAAGACAUUAUACUUUUCUUUAAGCUCUUUAUAGAACUUAGCCUGCUUCUCUUCGUUCACCGCUUUAUGAUAUUGUUCUUUCAGUUUAGUUUUUUUUGAAAAAAAACCUUCCCGUGUUUCGUCAUUGGUGGGGUUCGUUUCUGGUGGUCCAUCAACUAUAUCAAAAUUUUUUUUUAGCAUUUUCUUCAGCUUGAACAGGGCUUCAUGUUCCUCUCUCCAGUUUUCUGUUUCCUUUACCCCAUCAGUAUCCAUUUUUCCAGCAGUCAAGCUACGCAAGAUGGCGACUUUCUUCUUGAACACCUUUCCCCACAAAAUUAGCGAUUCUUGGGAGAAGGGUUUCCUAUAUAAAGUACAAAAAUUGUUUACAUAAAAAUAAAGUAAUCAAAAUUUUGGUUAAUAAAAAAACCGUGAGAGUACCAUCACAGUUUAAGAACAAAACUCAAAGUAGUACCUCGGGCUGUCAUGUAUUUUCUGCAGCUUUUUAAUUAGCUUUUCAGCAAGGAUAUGAUCCGCUUGCGGCUUUUUUAAAUGAUUCAAAAAAUCUCGCGCUGCUUUGUUGUCAUCACCCUCAAGUUCUGUUUCUACAUGCUCACGGGUAAUUUCGUUUGGCACCAUUUUUAACAACGUGCUAACUCUUUUGAAAUCUCCAUUUUCCUCCGGGUUUGAAUGAUACCUUUCUAUAUUCAAUUUUAAUUCCGUCAAUUUUUCUUGGGCGUAUUUUAUGUUUCUCCCUUGUUCUCGCUUUGCUAUUCCUUGAAAGUUAUCCAAUCUCUGUAUCAAAUUCUCAUAAAGGUUUGACUCUCGCGCAGAUUCAUGAAAUGACGGAUCAUAUUUGCCAAACAAGUUAGUGUAUGAUGUACCCAGUGUAACCUUCUUUAGCGAGUCUGCAAUACAAAAACAAAAAGUCCGGGAUUAAAGAGAUGAAAAUCACGACGACACAAAAUCAAAUCUGAACGAAAACUGUACCCGGUGUCAGGAGCCUGACAGACGCAGCAACUUUCUUAUGGUUUUUCCCAUCUAGAACAAUCCAGUUUUCAGCACUCACCUUUCCAUCUUUUUCCUUAUAUUUACCCUUGUACCCGACUAAGUAGAGAUUAUUUUUCUUUAUCAAAAUGUCCAAAUCGCGAUCGUCAUGCUUUAACCUUAAUUGGAAAAGCCAAUCCGCUUUCCCAUUCUUAUCCGUCAACUCAUCUUUCUUAUAUGUUCGCCGAACUCUCUUCAUGUCAGUGUCAGGGGCCUUACCUCCAAGGAGCUGUGACUCGAAACAUUUUUCAAUUUUCGGUUUCAAGUCUAUAUCAAGAAACUCUUCAUGAAAGCCCACGUCAUCAAGGCUUUUAAAAUCUCUCUUUACAUCACUUAGCGGAAAUUUCUUAAUUAAGCUUCCGAUGAACUCUUCGUACUCAUCUCCGUCUUCGUUAUCAAGGUAUAGAGUAAGCGGUUCAGAUGAAAACUCAUUGUGCUUAGUAGUAUUUGCCAUAUAAGCUUAAAGAGUUAAAGAUAUUAGAGAACAAGUGAAGAAAGAUGGUCUGUUUCUUCUCUUGAUUAAACCAACACAAUUUAUUGUUUUUACAAAGCCAUCUAGAUCCUACACCCAGAGUCUGCAAAAUACUAGUAUUAAAUUGUAUGAAGCCUGUGUCAUUUUUAUUUUAAUACAAACUAGUUUAUACGUUCUUUCAAUCUAUUCGAAACUAAUUGGAAUGUCUUCCAAUAAUUUCGAAAUGAAAAAAGAAGAAGGUAAUUUUGAAUUUUUUUUGCAAUAUAUCUAACUAAAAAGUAAUUUUUAUUUUUGAUAUUUAAAAUUCAGAAAUUCAAGAAAAUUAGAAAAAUAUAACGGAGCUAUCUGAGACGCGCUACCUGAUGAACACCUCGCUUCUAAUUAUAUUGAUUGACUAGUUGAGAAGCCGCGCGUUGCGGCGAUCUAUUGAAAUUAUAUUAAUCAUUCAAAAUUAAUAUUUGUAGAAUAAAAUAAAUUUUAUGAUAUAAACAUCUCAAUGCAAUACAAAUAUUAAUAUGUAAAAUUGGACUAUAAUUCAUGAGUGAAAAAAUGAAACUAAGUCAAACAUGCACAGGUGUUUCCGGAUUUAUAAGCUGAAGCCACAAGGAGCUGAGAGGUAGAUGUCAUAUAAGCUUGAAGAUGUUAGAAAUGAAGUGAAGGAAGAUAGUUUGUUAUUACAGGUCUUUCCGGAUUCAACACCAGCAAGUCUGCAACUACUAAUAAACUAAACUACAGAAUGCCAGUUGAUAUUUAAUAUACAAAAGGUGAUUGUGAAGUUUUGGCUUUUUGGUGUAUGAUUGAUAUUGGCUUAUUAAACAAACCGGAGCCGGCGAAAACCAAGGCUUCAACAAACAUAAACAAAAAAAGAUGAUGUGUUUCUCUUGGUUAACUAACACAAUUUAUAGUAGUUUUUACAAGCCAUCUACAUCCUACACCUGCAAGUCUGCAGAAUACUAGUAUAAAAUUGUAGGAAUCCUGUAUCAUUUUUAUUUCAAUACAAAUUAUAAGUAGUUGCCUUUGUUUUGGCUUGUGCAGUCACACACCCAUAUAUUUAUAUUCGGGUUAGUUAGAAAUUAUAUAAAAUAUUGGGAAAAAGUAAUAAAAUGAUGGCGAUUAAUUAGUUUGUUAAUCACAGUAGUCUAUCAUGGAAAUGAAGAUAUUGAUGGAGUAUAUGCCGAUAUAAUAUAAAAGUAGAGAUUUCAUUAUAAUCAACUAUAUAUUAUUAAUUUAUAAUACAAAUUAGACUGAUAUAGUUAAUAUUUAAAAGUGUAUGAACAAACAAAACAUGAACUGACAAUUCAAACAAAAUGCAUGAUCUGAACAAACAAAACAUGAACAGACAAUUCAAACAAACGGUACCGAUAGAUCCCAAACAAACGCAUGCACAAAUCAGUGAUCAACAUUGAAUCACUCAUAACACAAUCUUAUUCCAUACUGAAUUAAAACGAAUAGUAGGAGAUCCUUCCGAAUAUAGGGUAGCUUUGUUUUCGAGGCACAUAGUCCAUAUAGUCGCUAACAGACCAGGAUCUGCAGGGAGGAAUAUUUUUUGGAUUGACUCAGACUUUCUCGCUUCCUGCAGCAAAUACAGCAAGUAGCAGGGUUGAUACUAUUGCAAGCUUGAUAAGAACAUCUUGGGGUGACAUUCUGAGAUCACGAGACUAGCAAUAGCUGACAAUUGGAGCACAAUUAGUAAAGUAACGUAGUUUUUUUUUUUGAUGUAGCUGAGAAUUUUAUUUUGCUUUUUAAUUAUUAUAUACCCAUUGUUAAUUCUGAAACUCGGUGAUUAAUUACGAUUAAUCUUUGUUUCAUAUUUCGUCGAACUCAUUAAAUCUCCAAUUAUUCAAUUAAUCAUCAGAUCAAUCUUCGAUCAAUCCAAUUCAUCUUCGAUUAAUCCUUAUUAAUCCCCAUGUAGUCACCGAUUAAGUCUAAUUCUUGCUUUUUAUAACCAUGUAUAUAUAUCAUAUAUAUAUAUAUAUAUGUUCACAAGAGAUACUAAUGAUUUAUGACGUCAUUUGUUCUAGUAUUUUUUUUAUUUUUUUAGUAAAAGCACUUGCAUUCAUUAAAUCAUAUCCAAACUCAGAUCAAGGAACUAAGGUGGAGUGACAUACCACUCCCCUUCGUCUGACAUAGAAUAGGCAGCUUUGGCAAGCCUAUGAGCUACCGUAUUCGCAGAACGAUAAAUAAAAACAACUAGCACUUGAUUUACGUGCUUAACUAACUGAAUACAAUUCAUCACAAUGGUACCAAAGAAAGCUUCUCCCUGCCCACCAUUACAUGCAGCAGCUAGAGCAGAUGAUGAUGUUAGAAUAUUAUGUCAGCUUAUUAGUAUUUUCAUUCAUUUUCUUUUUCUCCACGGGUGCCGGAGAAGAUGAAUUAAUUGUCACGGGGAAGUAAAAGGUUAUGCUAGUAGAAGAGUCGCACUUCAGACAAAUAUUCUCGGUUGUAUAGAUCUUUGUGCUAGUCCAUCAACAAUUAAAUCUCUGUUAAUUAAUAAUUGAUUAAUAAUAAUAUUGUAAAAAUAAUACUUUUUCCUGAUUUCAAUAAAAUUACUAUAACGAAGACAAUACUUCUAUAAAAUAAUAAAGUCGAUGAAUUAUAUUUUUCCUCUUCAUCCCAGUAUUAUUUACUUUAAAGAUCCACAACUUCUUAUAAACAUCCAAAGUGAGAUGGUGCCCUCCUACACUUGAGGUUGAACAAUGUGUUGAUAAAACAUGAUUAACUAAUAACACGUGAACUAGAGAUUUGUGGUCCCAACAUAAUGUUGACAGUACAUAUUUAACUUCGAUUGCCCUGACAUUAAUAAUUUGUACGUGGUCCGAACAUAAUGUUUGUGAAAACCGAUAUGUGCUUAAAAUUUCACCGGUGAAUGAUCACUACGAAAAUGUAGUGCAAUUCACACGGAGUCCUGAGAAACAGCAAAAACAUAAAAUGGAACCAACAAUGAUUUGUUGCAUGAUCAAAAUAAACAAAACAUGAACAGACAAACAGAAUGAACAAUUCCAAUCCCAAACAAAAGCAUGUAGAAAUCACAAUCAACAUUGAAUCAACUCAGAACACAAUCUUAAUUAUUUCACACUGAAUUAAAAUGAGUAGUACUAAAUUCUUCCAAAUGCCAGCUUUGCUUUCCAAGCACAUAAUCCAUAGAGUUGCUAGCAGACCAGGAUCUGUAGAGAGGAAAUUUUUUUGAUUGACGCGGACUUUCUGGCCUCCUGCAGCAAAUAUAGCGAGUAGUAUGGCAAAACAAGGGACGAUGAAACGAAUAAAUAAACACAAUAAAUGAAGAGUUUCACGUUGUAGAAAGACUGCAGAUCCAAAUAUUAUACAGAGCUAGAACUUACUAUUUGGUAGUUGCUCCAGUUACUCUUUGUCUCUCUUGUCUUUAUCCAUUUGCCUUAUGACUGUCGGAUUUUCUCCCAACAAACGUCUUUCAGCAUCGUACCACCCCCCACGUUGCAUUAAGGCCGAUCUAUCACCCCAAUAAUAUAUGGAAGUAAUACAGUUUUCAGGCAAAUUAGAAUCAGUGUGGGUUUCCUUGUGGUAAUAAUUGCAUGCAACAUGCUCUGCGAUAGAUUGAAAUCUCACAGCUUCACAUAUCAUCAGGGCCAACUUUAUAAUAUGUUUAGCGAAUUUUCUAUCUUCCUGAUCCAAUGAGGAGGCGGUGAGAUAAUUGACUGCUUUUAUGAAGGCUCGUCUGUUCAACUUUACCUUUGCCAAACGAUCCUUCACUCUUCUGAUUUCAUUGUCUACUUUAACACUUUGCUCUAUGAAUUUACGAUGCUGUCGCUCAGGGUUAUAAUCCUCUCGCGGCUCUUUUAAAUAAUUCAAAAAAUCUAGCGCUGCUUUGUCAUCAGCACCUAUAAGUUCUUUUACACGCUCAAGGGUAAUAUCUCUUGGCACCAUAGCUAACAAUGUGUCCACUCUUUUGAUCAAGUCUUUAUUAUCUUUUCCCUUCAGCCUUUCAAUUUGCUCUUUCAUUGCCUUCAAUUCUGUUACGGCGUCAGUUAUUUUUCUUUCUUUGUCUCUCCCUUUUCGUGCUAGAACCAUUUUCGACUUCUCUUCUUUCUCUGCACUCCGGUCUGCCUCUGGCUCAGAACCCUUAAAAGAUGGAUCAGAUAUGCCAAACAAUGCACUGUAUGAUGUACUCAGUUUAACUUCCUUUAGCGGGUCCGCUACACAAAAACACAAAGUCCAAAAUCAAAGAGAUGAAAAUCACGACGCAAAAUUAAAUCUGAACGAAAACUGGAUAUGACUUACUCGAUGGCGGAAACUUCUGGAAAGACUUAACAACUUCGCGAUGAUUUUUCCCAGUUAGAACAAUCCAGUAAUCAGCUUGCUCCGUUUCAGCAUUCACCGCUCCGUCUUCUUCUUUUUCUUUAUAUUUACCCUUGUACCCGACUAAGUAGAGAUUAUUUUUCUUUAUCAAAAUGUCCAAAUUGCGACAUUCAUGCUUUAACCUUACUUUGAGAAGCCAAUUCUUAUCCUUCAACUCCUCUAUACUACAGGUUCGUCGAACGCUUUCCUUUUGGCGAGUGCUUGCAGCAUUUCCAGGAAUUCCCGGAAAACAUUUUUCAAUUUUGGAUUUCAACUCUUUAUCAGCGCUCUCUUUAUCAAAGUUUCGAAGUUCUUUCUCUACAUCACAUGGCGGAAAUUCCUUAAUUAAGCUUUUGAUGAACUUUUCGUACUCAUCUUUUUCAUUUUUAUCAAGGUUUAGAGUAAGCGGUUCAUCAGAUGAAACCGCAGUGGGCUGAGAGGUAGAUGUCAUAUAAGCUUGAAGAUGUUAGCAAUAAAGUGAAGGGAGAUAGUUUGUUAUUACAGGUCUUUCCGGAUUUAACAACUGCAAGUCUUCAACUACUGAUAAACUUAAUAUAUAGAAUGCCAGUUGAUAUUUCAUAUACAAAAGGUGACUCUGAAGUUUUGGCUUUUUUGUUAAUAAACGAGGAAAAGAUGGUGUGAUCGAGAUUGGCUUAUUAUUAGUUACUAAAUAAACCGGAGCCGGGGAAACCAAGGCUUCAACAAACAUGAACAAAUGAAUACUAGUAUAAAAUUGUAGGAAUCCUGUAUCAUUUUUAUUUCAAUACAAAUUAUAAGUAGUUGCCUUUGUUUUGGGGUGCGCGGGCUGUUCAUACUGUCACACACCCAUGUAAUUUAUAUUUGGGUUAGUUAGAAAUUAUAUAAAAUAUUGGAAAAAAGUAAUAAAAUGAUGGCCAUUGAUUAUUUUGUUAAUCACAGAAGUCUGUCAUGGAAAUGAAGAUAUUGAUGGAGUAUGCGGAUAUAAUAUAAAAGCAGAGAUUUUAUUAUAAUCAACUAUUAUCAAUUAUAAUACAAAUGAGACUUAUAUAGUUAAUAUUUAGAAAAUAAUAACAAAAAUUGUGAAAUAAUAUUUUCUCAACCAAAUCUCAUAUAUAAGUUUCAAAAAUAAAAAUAGUCAAUAAAAAAAUUACAUUUUCCGAUUUCUCAUAUUAUGGUCCUUAAAUCGAAAAUCGGUACGAAAAAGCGUUUCUAACUUAUAAGCUGACAAGCCGCGCAAAAUACCAAAUAUAUUUUCAAAAUGCGGUCAUGUUUUAAUUAGUUAAAGUUAUACUAUCGACAUUGGCUCAUUGCAAUUUUGAAACCAUUCUUUUUGCAGCGGAAAACAUUGUGAACACUCGGUAUCCAAGUUAGGCAAAAUGUUCGACGUACUAGCCUGCAAGGUUUGUAUGCUAAACUUGCAUGUUCUCCAGGUGUAAGUAUUCACUUAUUACGCAUUUAGAGGAGGCAUUAUUAGUAUAAACUGAACACCUAUGCAAGCAAGUUGGACUCAUAGUUGCCAUGGACUAAGCACUACCCAAAAUGAGAUCUUUGCCCUUUGUUUUCAGCUAAUAACUACUUAGUUAUAGCAGAACCAGUGGAUGCAGUACGGUGUUCCAUGUUACUUAUACACAAAAAGGAGUAUAUAUAGCAUGUGUUUAUAUGUAUAUUAAUAUUAUCAUGUAUAUAAUGUGGCAAUAAAUAACUGUUUCAUCAGUGAAUACAAGUUCAUCGAGGAAAUCCUGGAUGAGGUUCAAAUUUAAAAUUUAUUUACCUAGAUUGAGUUUAACAAGUUAUGUCAGGGUACAAGGUAAAACUGAUUAGAAGGCUUAUAGAUUAGGAAGCAAAAGCCAAUUUAGACCUUUAUAAAAUACUUCCUUGACAACAACAAAAAAAUAUAUAGUUUGGGAAACGUACCUUCCUCGAUUAUAAUUUAAAUGCCCCAUGUCUCCAUUAUGAAUUAUUCUUACCCGUGUAUACGAAUAAGUCAAAAAUAAAAUAAAAUUAAUCAAUCCAAAAUACCUUUUCCUUGCACUAAAUUACAUUUUACAUUCUAAACUUUUAAUGGAUAUUUAUUUUUAUUAAAUUAGUAUUUGCCGAAGCAACUUUUUUAUAAGGGAAGAAUUGAAGAGAAAGUGCAAGUUUUGCUUUGUGCUCUCAGUCUUUUCCGUUGCUUGACAUGGGAAAAGAUUAACAUAUUGAUUCCUUAUCCAUGGAAUUAAUAUUUUAAUGUGUAAUGUAAUCUUCUAUAUAUGGUUGUUUAUGUUCAAAAGAACCAGUAUCCCUGUUAAAUCCUCAAAUCAUAUGUGGGUAUGUUAUUUAGUUGAGAUCGAGUGAUAAGAGUGGCCAUAUGCGUGUCAACCAUAAAAAUCAACCAGUUGCAGUAAGAUUCAGCAGCCCCUACGAAAUUAAAACUAAUAUGAUAAAUAGAAGUUAAUAUUAUAAUAAUAACGCUAUUGCUUACGUUAUUGUUGACAGAACCGAGGCCAUUGUGUUUAUGCCUAAAAUUCUUUGUCGAGAAUAUUUGAUUAUUUCCUUACAUUAGUUCAGGUACAACCAAAUCUAAUGUCUUCAAUGUGCCUUCUUCGGGGAUACUACCUACUGGACACUCAAAACAGUCAAUUCAAUGCGGCAGAUAUAUAUAGGUGAGACAAGCACUGCAGGUAACUUCUAAUGCCCUUGAUAUAUUUUAGCAUUUAUAAAACAGGCCAUUGUGUUUGCGUUAAUUCACAUGGGCAAGAUUAAUGUUUGUGGCAGUAGAACACUAUACGUUUUAGAGUAAUUGACACUUUGCAACUAUACGUUUUAGAGUAAUUGACACUUUGCAACCCACAAGUUUAAGCGGUUUUUGAUUUGGUCUCAAAUAAAUUUUUUUGUCAAUAUACACCAUAAUGUUUAAAAAGCGCUUCAAUAUGCACCCUUUUGACUAUUUUCCGUCAAGUUGACUGUUACAAUUAACGGCUGCAGGGGUAAAAUAGUAAUUAUGUAGACUUUCCUCUUCUAUUUUUUCCAUACAAAAUUAUUAUUUUACCCUUGCAGCCGUUAAUCUUAACAGUCAACUUGACGGAAAUAGUUAAAAGGGUGUAUAUUGAAACGCUUUUUAAACAUUAUGAUGCAUAUUGAUAAGAAAUUUUGUUUGGGACCAAAUCGAAAAAACGCUUAAACUUAUGGGGCGUAAAGUGUCAAUUACUCUAUGUUUUAUUUGAUACAUGAGGCACCCAACAUGGAAAUAGUAUCAUGUAUUAUAAUAGCGACACCGGGAUAUUAUAUAUACAUAGUGAAAAAGGGGAAUGGCGAAAAAAGUUGUGCAGCAACUUUGACUCUUGUGCCUAAAUUGCAUUUUAAUUUUAAAGGCACUCCAACUGACACUCAUUGGGGUCUCUAAGAAAAUUCAAACAAUAUUGAUGGUUGAAAGAUUAAAAUAUCCAUUUAACACAAUUCGAAAAUAUAGAAAAAUAGGGGUGUUUAAUUAGCAUCUUGGGAAAAAAAUGGAAUUCUAGCUAAUAUUAUGCGAUGCAUGUGCCAUGCCGUGUCUUGUAUUAUAUUAUGCACAGUAUUCUUUCUUUCUUUUUUUUGCUAAACUAUGCACAGUAUUCUUAAUAAACCAGUUGUACAAUUGAAAAUAAAAUAUAGGUUGUUGAGCAACUUCCCAGCAAAGGAUUUACCUAAUAUAAUGCAUUCUGUAUUGCAUAACGGUGACUUUUGACAGAGGGGACUUCGCAAGGGGAUUUCUCAUCUGGAGGUUCAAGCUUGAAAGAAGUUCCUGCCAUUAAUCAAGCAGAUGGAGGAACAACCGCUCCAAGUAUGUUUUUCAGGUAACUGGACAAGUAUAUCAUAACAUUGGAUCUUUGAUACCACCUGAUGGACGGACCCCGAAAUUUACACAAUUAUGUAUGAUGGAUGUGACUAUGUGAGGCAAAUGAGCAUGAUGCAUUAACGGAAAGUAGUUUCUUGAAAUCACAUUUCGCUUGACAUUGGAUAAAUUGAUGGAAAGAAGAACGAUGAGCGUAUUUGCUGCAUGUAUACAAGUUAAUUUUAUUGCUUACCAAAGUAAAAAUUUAAAAGUUUAGAAUUUCUUGGUUUAUAAACCGCGCAAGUUUAUGAUCAAGGAAAAAAUGUUUUUUUAUUACUCUAUGUCGCGAAGCUUUUGUUAUAGAUAUACUACGUCUCCUGAUGUUAAGAAGUUGGUAAAAAAAAGUUUGUCCCCCCUUAUGCAUUACUCUCUGCAUCCGCCACUGUGAGCAUCGGAUUAAUUUUACAGGGAAAAGGGGGGAGAGGGAAAAGGGGGGAGAUUGAUAGGCUGAUUAUUACAACUCUCGAUAGCAUGCUCAGUCGUAACAAUGUGCUAGUGGGAAUAUUCAGCCAAAUAAGACAACAAUUUAAAAAUGUGGUAGCUAUUCCUGUACGCUUGAAAUUGAGAGACGCACAACUGAGGCCGUUUUCAUAGUAAUCAGACUCAAGAUGAUUAUGAAAUUGAGCAUAUUCAUGUUGAAUGCAUUUGAAUUCGCAGGUCUUGCCAUAGAUAUCGACUUUUGCACAGUCAUUCAGAAUAAAGCAGUUGGAUUGCAGCAUAUUAGUGAUGAGCUGCAUAUAUCCCUGUUAUAUGUCCUUGCAAUAUCCCCUUCUAUUCUCGUUCGGUUUUUCCGAAUAACUUUAUUUAUAUAAAAAAAGGUUAAACAACAAUCCGUCGAUUUCAUGAUACAACGUUUCGAAUUAGCGUCUUGGGUCUUGCACGGGCUUUUAUACUAGUUUAUACUUAUUGCAUGACCAACUCAUCUCCCUCCAAUAAUUAUAAAAAUAAUAUAUUACUUUUAAGAUAUAGCUAACAAUUAUAACUAAUUGUAUUGGAGGAAAAACGUUAACGGCACAGAUUUAUGCAUAUUUAAUGGAAGUUGUACACACUAUUUUCGCGGGUUAAUAUAAUGGGGUGCGAUUUGAAUUAUUCAUAGUUGUUGUAAAAAAAUCGUUUUUGAACGAAAAAUAAUGGGAUAUGAUAUCAAUUACCUCUAAUGUGUUUCUCUUGGUUAAACUAAAUCAGUUUAUAGUUCUUACAAGUCAUCUUUAUUUAACUGGAAUUUUAAUGAAUUAAUAAUAAUUUUUAAAUUUUAAAAGAUUGUUUAUGAUUUUAAUUAUUCAAUAAAUUUAUAUUAAUUUAUAAAUUUAAUAAAUUAUAUCUUACUUUUAUAUUUCUACAAAUUUCUGAUAAAAUGUCAUAAAAAUUAUAAAUAAUAACUGAGAUAACGCAACUCCUACCAAUGAUGAGGCCGUUAAUGUUAGUGUUCGAACCUAACAGGGGGAACACAACACUAUCAUAUGUGUUCAACCUUGUUAAUAUCAACCGCACAAUGACAUGUUACUCCGUCGCUCAUUCUUAUACAACUUUUUUCAUUACUUGUCGCGUAUUUUAUGGAUUUUAUAUAAUAUAGUUCAAUAAUUUAUUACUAUAUUUUUUGUUUAUAUAUGAAUUAAAACAUAAAUAUUAUUUUUUAUUAGAAAAAAAUUUAAAAUUGAUUAAUAAAAAUAUAAAAAAUUCUUAGAAUACGUAUCAAGCCCUUCGAGUCAACGUAUACAACUCAAUGGUAAGUGUUCCACUCUUGCACAUUAAAAUGUAUGCAAAAAGUCAAGCGUCAUAUAAUAAAAGAGAGAGAGAGUAUAUUUCACACCAAAGUCUUCAAAAAAGCAUCAACAUGAAAUGGAAACAAUCAAACAAUGAUUUAUUGCAUGAUAUGAACAAACAGAACAUCUAACACGCAAUUCAAACAAAAACACGCACAAAUCACGGUGAUCAACAUUGAAUCAACUCAGAACACAAUCUUAUUCCACAGUGAAUUAAAACGAGUGGCAGGAGAUUCUUCCAAAUAUAUGUUAGCUUUAUUUUCGAGGCACAUAGUCCAUGUAGUCGCUAACAGACCAGGAUCUGCAGAGAGGAAUAUUUUUUAGUCAGAUUUCCUCGUCUCUUGCAGCAAAUACAGCAAAUAGCAGGGUAAUUACGAGGGAGGAUGAUAAGAAUGAAGAUUAUCAAAAUUAUACACAACUAGAACUUACUGUUUGAUAGGUACUCCAGUAGUUACUAUUUAAUUGCUUCUUCGUCAUCCAUGUCUUUGAAAACUGACGGAUCUUCUCCCUUCAUAGGUGUUUCACCAGCAUACACCCACCCACGUUGUCUAAAGGCCGAUCUACUACUCCAAUUAUACACGGAAGUAAUACAAUUUGCACACAGAAUAGCAGUGCCAUGGGUUUCAUCAUGGGUUUCAUCCAUGUGGUAAUUGUUUGCAACGUGCUUCUUAAUAUUUGGAAAUCACCGUUUUGUGGAAUUCAAUGUGGAAUCACCGUACUCGUUUUAAUUCAGUGUGGAAUAAGAUUGUGUUCUGAGUUGAUUCAAUGUUGAUCACCGUGAUGUGUGCGUGUGUUUGUUUGGGAUUGGAACCGUUUGUUUGAAUUGCGUGUUAGAUGUUUUGUUUGUUCAUAUCAUGCAAUAAAUCAUUGUUUGAUUUUUUUUUUGAAACAAAGGUGUUAAUCUCAUAAUAAAAGGUCAUACGGCAUCUACACCAAUGAUCGAGUCGAACAGACAGUAUAUUGCCAUCCCGUGAUCUGACAAUGAGACAGUUAAACGAUAUUUUGAAGAAAAUGUAUGUACAAAUACAAGUACCCGCUUCAUGCAUUCUCGUUGAAUUAUGAUCUACUUAUAAGCUAACUCUAACACACACAUGUAGUCGGGUUAUUCUAGAUGGUUAAUUAUAAUAGGGUUCACUGCUUAUAAGCUAAAUCAAACGGGCACAUAUAGUCGGGUUAUUCUUUAAUUAUAAUAUAGUCGGGGUGUCUUAAUUUUAGAGUCUGAGGCUAACGCUUAUCUGCACAAUCCACACAGAGUCUUGGGAAACAGCAACAACAUAAAAAUGGAAACAACAAUGAUUUGCUGCUAAACAAACAAAUACAAUCAAAAUAGACAAUUCCAAUCCCAAACGAAGACACACACAACUCACAAUCCCAAACAAAGACAUGCACAAAUCAACUCUUAACACAAUCCUAUUCCACACCAAAUUAAAAUGUGAUCGAGUCCUCCGUCUCCAAACAUAUACAAUUGAAUAAAACGGAUUAAGUAUUAUAUAUUUACUACUGAACCUCAAAUAGAUGAAAAUUUAAAACAUGAAUUUUAAAGCUUUCCAUUUAAAGAGUAAAGCUAAUCCAAGUAACAAUGACCGAGCAUUUACUCGUCUACCGUCAGCUCUUCAUUUAAAUUGGUAAGGCUGCAUUGGUAUAGGGGCCGUUUGGGUGAGUUUAAAAUAAGUGCUACUUGCUUAAAAUAAAAAAGUGAAGUAGAAGUUAGAAACAUGUAAAGACUUAUAAGUGAUUAAAGUGUUUGGGAAAGAAGUAGAAGUCCUGAAACAAAAGUUAGCAUUCCUAGCAUAUAAGUGCUUCUUGACUUAUUACACAAAUGGUACAAAUCUAACUUAUAAACCCAGAGAUUGGGCUUUUAAACGCUCGCCAAACACCCACAUAGUCUAGCCGACAUGCAUAUGUAUCAGCAUAUACGAAGUAUCUCAAAUUUGUGAUUAGUUUUGAGAUUUUGAAAUAUGAUUAAAUAAUAUGUUUAGAUAUAAAAAAAAAGGUUGGAUCUAAAUUUCAUUUCAAAUUCAGGACUUUUAAAUGUUACACUACACCAAUUCUGGCCAUUUACGACGGAUAUCUUACGACGGAAUAAGCGGAGCGCAAAACUUACGACGGAACACAAACAUUCGUCGUAUUUUCUCGUCAAUACUUACGACGUACCAACCUUCCAUCGUAUGUUUUGCUAGAAUUCAGCCGCGCCCUAAUAAAAAAAUAAUAAAUUUUUUCCCGCGAAAAAACCGUCGAAAUUUAACCGUCGUAAGUUAACAUAUCUACCUAAAUAAAGACAAAAAAUAAAUGAAAAUAAAGUAUUUUCUUUUCCGUCGUAAAUACGCCGUCGUAAGUUCAUAUAAUUAUAUAAUUAUAUCUAUUUUAAAAAUGAAAAAUAAAUGGAAAUUAUAAAUUUUAAUUUUUCGUCGUAAAUUAACCGUCGUAAGUUAACAUAUCUACCUGAUUAAAGAAGCAAAAUAAAUUAAAAUAAAGUGAUUUUCUUUUCCGUCGUAAAUAAGCCGUCGUAAGUUCAUAUAUUUAUAUAAUUAUAUCUGUUUUAAAAAAGGAAAAUAAAUAAGAAUUAUAAAUUUUAAUUUUUCGUCGUAAUUUAACCGUCGUAAGUUAACAUAUCUACCUAAAUAAAGACAAAAAAUAAAUGAAAAUAAAGUAUUUUCUUUUUCGUCGUAAAUAUGUCGUCGUAAGUUAACAUAUCUACCUAAUUAAAGGAAAAAAAUAAAUGAAAAUAAAUUGAUUUUCUCUUCCGUCGUAAAUAAGCCGUCGUAAGUUCAUAUAAUUAUAUAAGUAAAUCUGUUUUAAAAAAGAAAAAUAAAUGAGAAUUAUAAAUUUUAAUUUUUCGUCGUAAUUUAACCGUCGUAAGUUAACAUAUCUACCUAAAUAAAGACAAAAAAUAAAUGAAAAUAAUGUAUUUUCUUUUCCGUCGUAAAUACACCGUCGUAAGUUAACAUAUCUACCUAAUUAAAGACAAAAAAUAAAUGAAAAUAAAAUGAAUUUUGUUUCCGUCGUAAUAUAACCGUCGUAAGUUUACCUAACGCAUUAACUCCCACCUUCCCACAUUGAAAUCAAACGGCAGGAUAUUCAUUUUUAAACAGAACUUACGACGGAUACGAUAAUUCCGUCGUAACUUACCAUAUAUCCCUCAGAAGCUACUGCCUCUUUCUCCCCAACAUCAUUUCUAUAUGCUCCUAACCAGAACCAAAAAAUAUGCUCAUGAUCAAAUAAAUGUGAUAUAACAAAUUACACUCAACACUUGCAUCAAUCAUUCUUGUAAGUAUUUAUUUUCUAUCUUUCCAUUUAAAUUGUAGAAAUUUUGAUCUUCCAUAUUUUAUUUUGAUUAAUAUAAUUUUUCAAUAUUUGUAUGUGGGCUUGUGUGCAUAUUUAUAAUUGAAAUUUUGUUAUUUAUUAUUUAUAGAUGUCUCCGGAUCGUAGUUGGAUCACUAUGCGAAUAAAACCCGGUGGAUAUGGUUUUACGGAUGAAUAUAAUGAGGGGGUUAAAUAUUUUUUGGCAUUUGCGCGAAGCAAUUCUAGUAAGCCGAAUGAUCCGAAUCUUUUGAUUAAUUGUCCUUGCAAUACAUGUCGGAAUGCAUUAUACCAACUCAUUCCCGAUGUCGAGUUCCAUUUAUUUGCAACCGGUUUUCUUGAGAGUUAUACUAUAUGGUGCUUUCAUGGGGAAGCUAGUGCGUCAAGAAAUGAACAAAUGGAUGAUCGCGAACCUUUUUCCGUCGUAAGUAUGUAGGACCCACGAUGUAAAUACGACGGAUUUAUCCGUCAUAUAUUAUGGUCUAACAAAAUUGAGCAGUGGGGUCCACAUGGCUGAUCUUACGACGGAAGUGAUAACUUGUGACACAAUUUAAACUACCGACCAAUUUUUUAACUUCAGACGCCAGCAAAAACGACGGAAACUUUCCGUCGUAAAUGGUACUAUUUACGACGAAAUAGGCGGAAAAAAUCUGUCGUAAUUGGCCAAUAUUGGUGUAGUGUUAGUAUAAAAUUGAAAAUUUGAAAUGACACAUAAAAAUCAUAUAUUGAAAUCCAAAUUUUAAAAAGAAAUAUAUUUUUCCAAACACAAUCAUAUAUAAACACAAAUAUUUCAAAUUGAAUCGCUGGCAUGGACAAGUAAUACAACAGUACACAAUUCACACAAAGUCUUCAACCAAAGAUUUACUUGAUGACAUGAACAAGUAAUUGAACAAUACACAAUCCACACAAACUAAGACGUCAAAGAGAGCAGCAGUAUAAAAUGGACACAAUCAAACAACAAUGAUUUGUUGCAUGAUCUGAACAAACAAAACAUCAACACAAAAUUCAAAUAAACAGUUCUAAUCCUAAAAAGACGCAUGCACAAAUCACAAUCUCCAACAAUGAAUCGACUCAGAACACAAUCUUAUUCCACACUGAAUUAAAAUGAAUAGUAGGUAUUCUUCGAAAUAUAUGGUAGCUUUGUUUUCGAGGCACAUAGUAUAUAUAGUCGCUAAUAGACCCGGAUAUGCAGAGAGGAGUAUUUUUGGAUUGACGCAGAUUUUCUUGCCACCUGCAGCAAAUACAACAAGUAGCAGGGUAAACACGAGGGAGGAUGAAACGAAUAAAUAAACACAAGAAAUGAAGAGUAUCACCGUGAGAAAGACUGUGGAACCAAUUAUGCACAACUAGAACUUACUGUUUGAUAGUUGUUCCAGUUAUGUACAAAUUCUGUAUGCCUAGCACUCAUAUUCUUUUUCAUCCAUAUCCCUGAUGACUGCCGGAUCAUCUCCCAGAAGAAUUGUUUCACGAGCGUACACCCCCCCACGUUGCAUUAAGGCCGAUCUAUGACUCCAACUAUAUAUGGAAGUAAUACAUUCUUCAGAUAAAAAAGUAGUGACCUCAUGGGUUGUUUCGUGGUAAUUCUUUGCAACAUGCUUUUUGAUAUCUGGAAAUCUCGCAGCUUCACAUAUCAUUAUGGCCAACUUUAUAAUAUGUUCAGCGGUGUCGCUCUCGUUCUCACCAAAUGAGUCCUCGGUCGUCAGAUGCUCGACUGCUUCUGUGAAGGCUUCUCUGUUCAAAUUCACUGUUGCCAAACGAUCCUUCACAUCUUUGAUUUCAGCAUCUGCUCUAACUCUCUUCAUCAUCAAUUUAAAGACAUCAGACAUUUCUUUAAGUUCUUUAUGGAACUUAACCACCUUAGCCUUAUCCUCUGUGUUCACCGCUUUAUAUCGGCCUUUCAGUGUAGCUUUUUCUGAAAGAAAAACUUCCUGUAUUCCGUCAUCGGUGGGGUUCGUUUCUUGUGUUCCAUCAUCUAUAUUAAAUUUAUUUUUUAGCAUUCUUUUCAGCUUGAUCAGGGCUUCAUGUUCCUCUCUCCAGUCCUCUACCGUAUAUCCUUUCGUUCUCUUUCCCCAAACUAUUGUAUCCUUUUUUUCAGCAGUCAAGCUACCCAAGAUGACGACUAUCUUGUUGAACACCUUUCCCCACAAAAUUAUUGAUCUUUGAUUCCUAUAAAAAGUACAAAAAUUGUUUACAUAAAAAUAAAGUAAUCAAAAUUUUAAUUAAAAAAAAAAAACCGAGAGAGUACCAUCACAGUUUAAGAACAAAACUAAAAGCAGUACCUCUGGUUUUCACUUGCCUCAGCUUCGUUCGGCGCCUGCCCCUGUUGAUUAUUAUUUUCAUAUUCUUUCUUCAGCUUUUCUAUUAGCUUUCCCAAAAGGAUAUGAUCCUCUUGCGGCUUUUUUACAUGAUUCAAAAAAUCUCGCGCUGCCUUGUCAUCACCCUCAAGUUCUUCUUCUAAACACUCACGAGUAAUAUCUUCUGUCACCAUUUUUAACAAGCUGUUAACUCUUUUGUAAUCUUCAGUCUCCUCCGGGUUUUCAUAUUUUUUAUAAUGGCUUUCAAUAUUCGAUUUUAUUUUCUUCAAUUUCUUGGUGGCGUAAUUUAUUUUUCUAUGUUCUUCUCGCUUUGCUAGUCCUUUGAAGCCUCCCAACUUCUUUAUCAAAUUUUCAUACAGUUCUGACUCUGGCACAGAAUCAUAAAAUGACGGAACAGAUUUACCAAACAAUGCAGUGUAUGAUGUACCCAGUUUAACCUUCUUUAGCGAGUCUGCAAUACAAAAACAAAAAGUCCAAAAUUAAAGAGAUGAAAAUCACGACGCAAAAUCAAAUCUGAGCCAAAACUGUGUAUGACUUACUCGGUGUCAGGAAGUUGCUGACAGACUCAGCAACUUGGAGAUGGUUUUUCCCAUCUAGAACAAUCCAGCAGUUUUCAGCACUCACUGUUCCAUUUUCUUGUUUAUAAUUACCCUUGUACCCGACUAAGUAGAGAUUAUUUUUCUUUAUCAAAAUCUCCAAAUCACGAUCGCCAUGCUUUAACCUUAACUGGAAAAGCCAAUUCUCAUUCUUCAAUUCCUCUCCCUUAAAUGUUCGUCGAGCGCUGUCCCCACAUUCCCUUGCAUCAGUGUAAUGACGAAACGUUGGCUUGAAACAAUUAUUAAUUUUCCGUCCCAACUCUUCAUCAAAGCACUUGUCAUCAUCAACUCUUUCAGGAUCUUUUUUUAUAUAACAUUCUGGAAAUUUCUCAAUUAAGCUUUGGAUGAACUUUUCGUACUCAGCUUUUUCUAUGUUAUCAAGGUUUAGAGUAAGCGGUUCAUCAAAUGAAGCCGCAGUGGGCUGAGAGGUCGAUGUCAUAUAAGCUUGAAGAGAUGUUAGAAACGAAGUGAGGGAAGAUAGUUUGUUAUUACAGGUCUUUCGGGAUUCAACACCAGCAAAUCUGCAACUACUAAUAAACUAAACUAUAGAAUGCCAGUUGAUAUUUAAUAUACUAAAGGUGAUUGUGAAGUUUUGGCUUUUUGGUGUAUGAUUGAUAUUGGAUUAUUAAACAAACCGGAGCCGGCGAAACCAAGGCUUUAACAAACAUAAACAAAAAAAGAUGAUGUGUUUCUCUUGGUUAACUAACAUAAUUUAUAGUUUUUACAAGCCAUCUAGAUCCUAUACCUGCAAGUCUGCAGAAUACUACAACUUACUGUUUGGUAAUUGCUCCAAUUACUCUAAAUCUGAUUUUUGUUUUUUCGUUUCCUGGUUGACUGCCGGAUCUUCUCAAAUCAAAAUUAUUUCACCAGCAUACACCCCCCACGUUGCAUUAAGGCCGAUCUAUAACUCCAAUUAUACACGGAAGUAAUACAUUCUUCAGACAAAGAAGCAGUGACAUCAUGGGUUGUUUUGUGGUAAUUGUUUGCAACAUGCUUUUUGAUAUCUGGAGAUCUCGCAACUUCACAUAUCAUCAGAGCCAACUUUAUAAUAUGAUUAGCGAUUUGUCCCUCGUCCUCACCAAAUCAUUCAUGAGGACUUGGUGAGAUAGUCGACUGCUUCUGUGAAUUAGACUAGUCUGUUCAACUUCACAUGUGCCAUAAGUUCCUUCACUCUUAUGAUUCCAGCAUCUACUUUAACACUCUGCAUCAUGAAUUCCAAGACUGCAUACAUUUCUUUAAGCUCUUUGUAGAACUUAGCCUGAUCCUCUUUCUUCACCGCUUUAUAUAGAGAUCUUUCAGUGUGUUUUUUUUUUGACAAUAAAUCUUCCAAUAUUUCCUCAUGGGUGGUGGCCCUCGUUUUUGGUAUUUUACUAGUCCCAUUUUUUUUUUUUGAGCAUUCUUAUCAGCUUAAUCACACAUUAAGUUCCUUUUUCAGGUCUGCUACACUUUUUUUACUCAUUUUCUCUUCCCAAUAUGCUGUAUUCAUUUUUCCAGUAGUCAAGCUACCCAAGAUGAAGACUAUCUUCUUCACACCUCUCCCCACAAAAUAAGCGAUUCUUGGGACAAUGGGUUUCUUAUAUAAACUAGUUUACAGAAAAAUAAAGUAAUCAAAAUUUUAAUUAAUUAAUAAACCGAGAGAGUACAUUCACAGUUUAAGAACAAAACUCAAAGGAGUACCUCUGGUUUUCGCAUGCCUCUGCUUCGUUGGGCACCUGCCCUUGUUGAUUAUAUUUAUCAUCUUUUUUCUGCAGCUCUUGUAUUAGCUUUCCCACACGGAUAUGAUCCUCUCGCGGCUUUUUUAAAUGAUUCAAAAAAUCUCGCGCUGCUUUGUUGUCAUCACCCUCAAGUUCUUCUACACGCUCACGGAUAAUAUUUAUUGGCACCAUAUCUAACAAGCUGUUAACUCUUUUGGAAUCAUCAAUUACCUUCAGGCUUCCAUAUAUUUUUAUUCUCCUUUCACACUGCUCACUGUUUUCUUCCUUUCGUGUUUCAAUAUUCAAUUUUAUAUCCCCCAAUUUUGAUUUGGCGUAUUUUAUGUUUCUCUCUUCUUCUCACUCUACUCGUGCUUUAAACUUUUUCAACUUGUCUUUCAUCUUUUAAUACAGGUCUGACUUUGGCGCAUAAUUGUUAAAUGACGGAUCAGAUUUCCCAAACAAUGCACUAUAUGAUGUACUCAGUUUAACUGCCUUUAGCGAGUCUGCAAUACAAAAACAAAAGGCCAAAAUUAAAGAGAUGAAAAUCAAAACUAAACCAAAACUGGAUACGACUUACUCGAUGGCAGGAACUUCCUGACAGACUCAGCAACUUAACAAUGAUUUUUCCCUUUUAGAACAAUCCAUAGUUCAGCACUCACCGUUCCAUCGUCUAUUCGUCUUCUUUAUAUUUACCCUGUGCCCGACUAAGUAGAGAUUAUUUUUCUUUAUCAAAAUGUCCAAAUCGUGAUCCCAUGCUUUAACCUUACUUGGAAAAGUGAAAACCCAAUUUUUUUCUGCAACUCCUUUGGUUUAUAGGUUCGUGAAACGCUUUUCUUGUCAGUGGCCUCACCUUCCAUGCUUGCAGCAGUUUUAUCAAACAUGUCCAGGAAACAUUUUUCAAUUUUUAGUUUUAACUCUUCAUCAAGGCUUCGAAGAGAUUUCGCUACAGAACAUUCCGGAAAUUUCUUAAUUAAGCUUUCGAUGAACUCUUCGUACUCAGUUUUGUAUUAAAGAAUUGGAUUAUAAGUGAAAAGUUAAUUUGUAUUUAUAAGUUAUUAAAAGUGUUUGGGUACCGUGACUUAUAAGUCAAGUAUUUCUAUUAGAAGAAGCUGCAACCUAAAAAAAAAAAAAGCUAGCUUUCCUUUCUUUUUUUUUGGGCUUCUUUAGCCUCAGUAUAAGCGCUUCUAUUAAUGUGCCAAACAGUCUCAUUUAAUCAGAAGCUUGCUUCUAUAUAGAAAAAGCCUAGAAGCCAGCUAGCCAAACACCCACAGUUUGUCAUUACAGGUCUUUCCGGAUUCAACACCUGCAAGUCUGCAACUACUAAUAAACUAAUACUCCCUCUGUCCCCCUAGGUAGUUUACCUUCGGGGACGAGAGUUUGACACACAUUCUAAUACUCCUAGAAAACAUAGUUCCAUAACUUAUUUUUAAUCUUUUUUCUUUUGAACAAAAAUUUUAUGUUUGAAUUUUUAAACACAAAGAGAAAAUCUCAAAAAUAAGUUAAAUACUAUGUUAUAUAAGAACCUUAAAAUGCGUGUCAAGCAGUGCAAAAAACUAUAAAGAAAUGAGAGGGACGGAGGAAAUAUAUAGAAUGCCAGUUGGUAUUUAAUAUAUAGUAUGAUUGAGAUUGUGUGCCCAUGGGCACACCAUAGAAAAACCGUAUUACAAAAACCGGAGCCCGGGAAACUAAGGCUUCAACAAAAAUAAACAAAUGAAUAAAGAUAAUGGUAAGUUGUUUUGGUUCACACACGUACAUAGUCGGGUUAUUCUCGACUGUUAAUUAUAAUAUAGUCAGGUUGUCUUAAUUUUAGGGUUCGAGGCAAACGCUGGUUUGCACAAUCCACACAUAUAUAGUCUUGAGAAACAACAACAUAAAAUGGAAACAACAAUGGUUUGCUGCAUGAGCUAAACAGACAACACAUGAACAUAUAAUCAAAAAGACAAUUCCAAUCCCAAACAAAGAUAUGCACAAAUCACAAUCCCAAACAAAGACCUGACAAAUCAACUCAGAAGACAAUCUUAUUCCACACUGAAUCAAAAGUAGUAUGAGAUUCUUCUGCAUGCCAUCUUUGCUUUCCAGACAAGUAGUCCAUAGAGUCGGGUUGUCUCAAUUUUAGGGUCUGAGGCUAACGCUGUUAAUUAUAACUCUUUACCUAAUCCCUUCCACUCUCUUGCUCUGCUAACUGUAACCGCCUUCAUUAAAUCUUCCAACCCGAAAUCUCUUUCACCCUUGUAACUCCACCCACGUACCAUUACGCCUGAUAUAUCACUCCACAUAUUUAUCAGAGCAACAUUUUUAUCACUCAAUUUAGAGCCUAAUUCAAGUGUGUAACUGCGUUUAAUGUGCUCUGCAAUUGGUUCAAAUCUCGUAGCUUCACAUAUCAUCACCACUAAAUGAGUAAUAUGUUUAGCGAAAUCUUUUUGAUCAUCCUCAUCAAAUGGAUACUGAGUGAGAUGCUCAAAUGCGCGUACUAAGGCAUGUCUGUUCAAUUCAAAUUCUUUGAUCUUUUCAUUUUGUACCCUGCAGCUGGCACCAAUUCCAAGAGCCUUCAUCUGAUUUUCCAAGACGUGUCUAAUCUUUUCCAGCUUUUCAUAGAAGUCAUACAGAUCUGUAGCCAUCAUCACUUCCCUAUAUGAAUCUAUGAUGCCCCUAUCUAAUUUGGCGGCUUUAUCCGUUUCCAGCAGCUGACCACAUUCCUCUUCCAACUCUUCCGUAAGUAUCUUUUUAAUCUCUCCAGUAGAACCAUCUUCCUGGGGAAUUACUUUUUCAAGUAAUUUUAUCAGCCUAAUCUUUUCAGGGAGAUCUUUUUUUAGCUCUUCUUCUGUUUUCCCUUCCCUUUUCCUCUUCUUCUUUUCUUUCUCCUUCCUUUUUAGCAUAUCUUUGUUUGUCUCUCCGGUUUUCGUUUCUAUUAUUAUUUCAUAACCCAAGGAACUUAAGAUUUUGACUGCCUCUCGGAUCUCCGUUUCCCAUGGAAUGAGCGAUUGAUUGAAGUCACUAAAAAGAAUAUUUGCAUAAAAGAAAGUAAAAAUAAUUCUCACCUCAUGUGUGAUUCUGUAGUAGUAAUUAGUUCUUUAAAAUGAACUAUAAAGCAUCUGUAUAAAUAUGUAAACUUGCCUUUCUUGUUUUUCCUCAUCUGUUCCAUUCUGCCUUUGGCUGAGAAAAAGCUUAUGUUUCACUUCCAGCAUUUUUACAAGCUUUUCCAUGGCAUCCCUAUCUGAUAUCCCUCUUAGCUUUUGAAAUCUCUGUCGCCAAAAUUUCUUAAACUCUUCGGCCUUUUUGUCACCCGCAGGUUCACUCGUCUCCAAGGAAUAAUUUCUUUUUCUCAGCCACUCUAACAAGUACUCUGCUCUUUUGUACUGAUCCACUAGUUCCUCAUCUGGAAUUAACCAUUCCCAAUUUGACUCAAGUUCCUCUCCCAGCAUAGUUUCUUUUAUCGUUUUUGCCAUAUCCGUUUUCAGUUUUUGUAGUAUUCCAACAAUGUAGUCUGUUUUCUCAUCUCCAUUUAACAUUUUCAAUCUACCUGUCAAUCUCUUGUACAGGUUUUUGGCCAGUGCCUUUUGCUUCUUUGUUUCUAACUCCGAAUCAAAUGGGCUCAACAAUGAAAAAUAUGAUGAACCCAAUUUAACUUCUUUAUACUUAUCUGCAAAUACAAAAAACAAACUCCAAAUUAGGGGAUGUAUUCAAUUGGAAUUUUAAAUUAUGCUACAAAAUCUGGUGGUAUUCAAUCGGGAUUUUAAAUUAUACUUUAAAAUCUGACGGUAUUCAUUUGAGAUUGUUUAAAACUCAUUAAAAUCUGAUGGUAUUCAAAUACUAAUGGUAUUCAAAUACUAAUGGAUUUUGUUGGACUUCAUGAAAUGGUGGCUUUUGUAGAAUUGUUCAGUGUAUUUUAAGUUUUUGAAAUCUAACCAAAAUCCAUGAGAUUUUGUAACACUUUGCUUAAAUCCUAAAAAAUCUAUAUCAACUCUGCGACAUUUUAACAAGAAUCCGCACAAAAUCAAAAUAGAAUACAUCAAUCUAUUAAAAUCCAUAGACUAAGAUCAAUCCAUUUAAAUUCAUAGACUAAAAACAUUCCAUUAAAAUUCACAUAGACUAAAAACAAUCCAUUAAAAUCUACAAAUAAAAUUAGGAUGCAAAAUCAGACCUGGACCAAGAAUGUCGUAUAUUACUUACCGGGAGUUAGAAAUUCCUCAACAAACUGAACAGCUGCCUUACAACACCCCCCGCUUAGAAUAAUCCAGUAAUCAGCAUUGUCAUCUAUCUUCGCCUUGUCAUCUGGAUUCAGCAUAGCUUCUUCCUCCUUCAAUUUAUAUUUCCACUUGUACCCGACUAAAUACAAACUACUUUUUUGUAUCAAAAUGUCCAAAAUGUGUUGGUCAUAAGUUAACCUUACUUGAAAAAACUUUUCACUAGCAGGGAUUUCCGCUUCAAGUGGGGUUUGUGCACGAGGAUCUUCACCGCAGUUGUCGUCCAUGUCAUCGAGCUUUGGAAGAUUCCAUCCGUCGAAACAUAAACCGAUUUGGUCAUUCAUUUCUUUAAAUAUUUCAGUUUCUCGUGGCACAUGCUUGCCUACGGUGUCACAAAGUCUCUGUCUUUUUUCUUGUGGAUUAUAUAUAUUGACAAUGCCUUUGAUGAACUCACCGUAAGCAUCACCUUCGAGUUUGUUAAGAUCUAGAUGAACCCGCAGCUCAUCUUUACCAGAUGAACCCGCAGCAUCAGGAUUGGUAUUUCUGUCCAUAUAAGCUUUGAAAAUGUUGGAAAAGAAGACUCUAACCCUAGCACCGCGGCACCUUCUAUAAACCCGAACCGAAUCCAAACGCUUUCCUUUUUCUUUUCUCUUCUCCUACCACCUAACAGGGCUGAGCAAACGGUACCGAACUUGUCUUUCAAACCGAACCGAAUUCGGUUCGAUUAAAGGAAAAUCGAACUUUAAAAAAAAUUGGAUGUUGAAUAGUUGAAUAGUUGGACGCCGCGCAGGGCUGCUCGGCGGAGCUCUGGAGGCGCGCAGGGCUGCGGUUUGUUCAACACCUGCAAGUCUGCAACUACUAAUAAACUGACGGUUUUUCUAUCUAGUAUAAGUUUGGUGGUUUUUGAUUGGCUCAUACUUCUUUAUAACGGUGGACCCUCCUGUGAAUUCACCAACCACACCAAUCAAAAUCCACCAAAAUUGCAGAAUUUGGUGCUUACCAUGUGCACAUGAGCACACACUAGACAAACCCAUAAACUAAUAUACAGAUUAAUGCAUGCCAGUUGAUAUUUAAUAUACAAAAGGUGAUUGUGAAGUUUUGGCUUUUUGGUUAAUAAACGAGGACACGACCGUAUGAUUGAAAUUGGCUUAUUAAACAAACCGGAGCCAGCGGAAACCAAGGCUUCAACAAACAUAAACAAAUGAAUAAAGAUAAUGGUAGGUUGUUUUGGUUCACUGCUAAGUGCUAAUAAGCUAACUCAGACACACACGUAUAUAUAGUCGGGUUAUUCUCGACUGUUAAUUGUAAUAUAGUCGGGUUGUCUUAAUUUAGGGUCUGAGGCUAAGGCUGGUCUGCACAAUCCACACACAUAUAACAUAUAAGUAACACAAAUGAAGUGAGGAAGGAUGGUGUGUUUCUGUUGGUUAAACUAACACAAUUUAUAGUUUUUACAAGCCAUCUAGAUCCUGCACCUGCAAGUCUGCAGAAUACUAGUAUAAAAUUGUAGGAAUCCUGUAUCAUUUUUAUUCCAAUACAAAUUAUAAGUAGUUGCCUUUCCAAAUUUCCAGAUUUUUUUGAAGUUUUAAAUUUUCAAAAUCGAAUAAAAAACGAAUUUUUAUAUUUUUUUUCAAUGUUUUUUAUUUUUUUUACAUUUUUCAAGAAUUCCAUUAAAAUCAACUGAUACUUAACAGCGCAGUGAUCUAAAUGCAAGUUUUUAUUAGUUAAGUGAGUUGACUGCAAGUUAAAUAUUGUUUUGCAAGUUAGUCAUGAGUUCAUUAAUAUUUUUGCCUAUUAACCCUUAUUUCUUCAAAAGAGGAUCUAAAAUAUUAACAAUUACAUGGAUUUUGAUUAAUAUACAUUAAUUUAACUUGUUUGAUUAAUUAAUCAAUUUAUUAGAAAAAACUUAUUUAAACAAAUAUAAAUCAACCUAGCCUGUUUGCUUUAACUUUAAGUGUUUAUUGCUAAUUAGUGAGAAGUUAUUUACAAGUGAAAGAUAAUCUUUUCGAUUUUUUUUGUUUGCACAUAAAAAUUACUCUCAAAUAUAAUAAUAAAACAUUAGAAAUUAUCUUCUAAAAUUGUCUUUUAUAUUUUUGUGAAAUAAAAAUUUUAAAACAAAAAUAAGAGCAUUAAAAUAAGUUAGCAUUUUGAAUUUUUGAUGUUCUGCAUCCUUUGGACUUUUAAGCCCAACCUAACAACACUAUAAUCAUUAUAAUUAGUUUUUUAACAAUACACUAAUAAAAAUAUUAAUAUAGUAAUCAUAUCUUUAUAAUUUAUUUUAUUUAGAUAUAUUCUUAAAAAUAAUUAACAAUUUAAAACCUAUUUUAAUUCAGAUAUACAUACUAUUAUAACAAAAAUCUCUCUACAUCUCAAAUAGUGAGAUCAGAGAAGACUUUCAUUUUACCCAAGUUGUAGCUCAAAGACCCUUGAGCAAUAGUUGCCAUGUUCGUCAAGAGUGGAGUUGUUCUCGCAAGACUUGUUUGAGAUUAAGCCUCUAUAGUUGUAUAUAUAGUUGUAAGUCCUUGUUCCCUUUUUUUUUUUUUUUUUUUUUAAAUGAGAAUAAAUCUCACAAAUAUGAACCGUCAAUUAAUUGUGAUAAUUCUUUCAUUCAAGAAAACUUAUUAUCUAACCGUCAGACAUGCAAGAUGACCGGAGAAAUUUAAACAAUAAAACUUUAAUGUCCGAAAAGAAAAAUCCGUCUUCUUCCAAGAAUUCUGAAAAUAAAACAAAGAAAACAAGAACAAUAUAAGUCAAUAUAUAACAAAUUAUAUAUAUUAUAAAAAUAAAAAAUAUAUCCAAUAAUUAAUUAUUAAUAAAAUCACGUGUAUAUACAUGUGGUGAUCAAAAUAUUCACACAAUUAUGAUAACUCAUAAUUGAGACAAUUAAACUUCAACUCGAGGCAUAUCCUUUUCCCCAUGUAAAUCUCAUUUGGUAUACCAUUACAUAAUCCCAUGAAGAUACAAAUCAACUUUCACACCACUAAAAUCUUUGAAAUACCUAUUUUUACACUUUUGACAUGGACAUCUCAUAAGGCCUUCAUCUUCAUCUUUAAGAUUAUCACAAACAAAUUUAAGAAAACUAUCCACACCAUUCUUGUAUCCUCCCGUUAUAUAUUGUAUCGACUAUGACCAACCUAACUACGAUCGGAUCAUGUCAUCUACAACAUAUACACACAAUUCAAUAUAAAUGCAAAUAAAAUAAAAUCACAAAAUUAUAAUUAACUCAUACCUAAAAUGUAUACUAAUACGCACAAUUAUACUAAUUUCAUCAUACAUGAGUAACAUCAAACAUUUAUACAAAUUUCACAAACAACUAGUAAAAUUUAGAUUGUAUACAUUUAUACAAUCAAACAUUCUAAACAAUACACUAUAUAAUAUAUACUCAUGUAUGAUGUUUGUGAAACAUUUAUACUAAUUUAGAUUUCUAAACAACUAGUAAAGUUUAGAUUGUAUAAACAACUAGUAAAGUUUAGAUUGUAUCAUACUAGAAUAUGAUAUUUACUUGAUGAUCUCAAAGAUUUGAUGAGAAGAAUAUAAUAUAUAUGAUGGCAUGAAAAAAGAAAAAUGGUGGAAAAGGGAGAAUAGAAGAGAGAAAGGAAAAGAAAUGAGAAAGGAAAAGCGGCAUGAAUGGGCAGUAGGUAUGCAAUCUGGGAAGGGUAAGAAUGACCGGUCCCGGUCAAAAUUAUAUACCUCACUGAAAAUGGUCAAAUAAAUAUAAACGAAUACAGCCAGUCAAUUUUAUAAUUUUCACCCUUCGGGAGUCGAACCUGUGAUCAAGAGGAUACAAGUCCCCUCUUUAACCAACUGAACCAACCCUUGCGGGCGUCUAUUUUAGCCUUGACUUGAUGACAUGCGAGUUUGACCUUAAAUGUGACUGCGUUCGGUCAAAAAUAAUCGGUGAAAAAUACCCGGUUUUUCUUGUAGUGGAUUUUAAACUCUCAAACUUACCACGUUAAGUCAUAAAUUAAAAUUUUAAACUCCGUCAAACAAGCUUCUAUUUUAUUUGAAUAUAUUUCAAGAAUAUUAAUAAUUUUAGUUUUAAAAAAAGGAAUAUAAAUAAUUUGGAAAAGGUACAUAACCUACUCAAUAUCUUAAAAUAUCAUUCCUGCUCAUUUCUCCAUGCUCCUUCACAUUUCUUGAUACUUUCACCAAAAUUAUUAUAAAUAUGGGUAUCGAUCUUGAACCAAAAUUUUGUUUUUAAAAACAUCUUUAAUGUAUAUAUGAACAAACAUAAAGGCCAAAAGAUUUGAGAUUGAGACCUUAUAUGUUCGACUAUGAAAAAGACGAAUAGACGAAUAGACAAGUAACAUAUAUGUUUGUUUUAAAAUAGAUGAACAUUAUGUUGACAUGUUUUCCUUCACGUCGACUUAUUAAAAUUUUCAUUAUUUGUUGGAUGAUUUUCGGGACGAACAAGACUGUUUGUGUAGUUCCCAUAUUUUUAUAAAUAUUAAUUCUAAAAAUAUAAAUAGAAUAUAUUUACAUAUUAUUUUAAAUAGUUAAAAUUAUAAUUUAUUUUAAAAAUAUAAAUAAAGUAUAUUAUUAUAUUAUAUUAUAUUUUGGUUAAAAAAUAUAAUUUAUUUUAAAAUAUAGAUUUGAAAUUAUUCACAUAUAUCUUUUUCUGAACUUUUUUGAUUUGCUUUUGUCUACGGCUAUUAACGAACCGAACUGUUCGCUAACAAGCUCGAGCUCGGCUCGUUAAGAGCUCGUUCGGCUCGUUAAGUUAACGAGCUCGAGCUCGAACACAAAAAUGUAUUCGUUAAGAAAACGAGCUCGAGCCGAGCUUUUAGUAUGUUCGGCUCGAGCUCGGCUCGUUAAAACUCGAAAAAUUGUAAUUUUUCUAAUUUUUUAUAAUACAUAUAUAUGUUAUUGAACUCAUAGAAACAUAUGAUAUAUCUAUAAAUUUUAGUGAUGUAACCAAAGUUUCGAGAAAUAAUAAUUUUAUUUGAUUUGCUAUUUUAACAGUCAAGUAGAAGUUUGACUAGUGUCGCUAACUAGUGUUUAACCCUAAUUUAGUGUUUUGAUAUUUUAAAAAAUAUUUUUUAUCGAUUCAACUGUAUGGAUGUUAACAUAUAUACAUUUUAUUGAAAUAACUAAAAUUUCAAAAAAGAAUACUCCCUUCGUCCCCCUGAAUAGUAUACAUUGGUGGACGGGGACGCGACACGGACUUUAAUGCUCCUGUAAAGUGUAGUUGUGUAAUUUAUUUUUAAAAUUUUCUUUUUCUGAAUUAAAGUUUGGAUGUUAUAUUUUUAUUCAGAAAAAAAAAUCUAAAAAAUAAGUUACGUAACUAUAUUUUAUAAGAGCAUUGAAAUGUGUGUCGAGCAGUUUAAAAGAAACGUAUACAAUUAAAUGGGACAGAGGGAGUAUUAUUUGGUUAUCUAUUUUAAGAGUCAACUCGCGGUUUAUCCUUCUUUUUUUUUUCUGGCUCGGUUCGGCACGGUUCGACUCGGCUCGACUUGUAUUUGUUCGUGAACAAGCACGUGUUCGGCUCGUUUGUUAACGAGCUCAAGCUUGAACACAAUUUUUGUUCGUUAACAAAGCUCGGCUCAACAGAAAAAAUAUUUAAAGCUCGGCUCGACGCGGCAAAAACUCAACUCGUCUCGGCUCGGUUCGUGACCAGUUGAGUGACUGCUAGACCGAGACCGUUACUGCACAUUGUAGAAUGUAGCUCAAUAAUUGCAUUUACAACCUACUCAAUUUCUCAGCAUCCCAUUUCUGCACAUUGUGUAGCUCAGAGAAGCUUCAGCAAUGGCUGUCAACAGAGGAGCUCUUCUCAUAAUGACUUGUUUCAGCUUAAGGCCUCUGAGUGUAAGACCUUGUCCUCUUUUAUCGUCUCUUUUUCAUUCUCAUUUUCUUCCUUUCUCUACUAAACCUAACCCUAAUUCACAAGUUAAACCCCCCUUUAUUCCUUCUCCAUCCACCACUCAUCCCGAACUUAAACAAUUACUCUAUCAUAAGUCCGAAGUUGGUUUCGACAAACUCGACAAUGCUCUUCUUGUGUUCGAUGAAAUGCUCCUUCUGAAAUCUAAGCUUUCUGUUCUGCAAUUCAACCAACUGUUAGCCGCCCUCGUUCGGAUGAAAGAAUACUCUGUUGCCGUCUCUAUGUUUAGAGAAUUCCGUGUUUUAAGCAUUCCUGUUGACAUUGUUACCUUUACUACUGCCAUCCAUUCCUGUUGUCACUUGAAUACACUUGAUUAUGCCUUUUCGUUGCUUGCUGGAAUCAUCAAGAGUGGUUGGAUGCCCGAUGCCUUUACCUACAACACUCUCAUCAAGGGCCUUCUAUCUCAAGACAGGCCUUUGGAGGCUGGGGAUUUGUUUAAUAAGCUUAUCACAUUUCAAGAAAUUCAGCCCAAUUUAGUUACGUAUAGCACCAUCAUUGAUGGUCUCUGCAAAACUUCAAAUACCUCCAUGGCUCUCAAGUUGUUAAGAAAGAUGGAGGAGAUAGGUUGUAACCCCGAUGUGGUAACUUAUAACACCAUCAUUGAUGGUCUCUGCAAAACUUCAAAUACCUCCAUGGCUCUCAAGUUGUUAAGAAAGAUGGAGGAGAUAGGUUGUAACCCCGAUGUGGUAACUUAUAACACCAUCAUUGAUGGUCUCUGCAAAACUUCAAAUACCUCCAUGGCUCUCAAGUUGUUAAGAAAGAUGGAGGAGAUAGGUUGUAACCCCGAUGUGGUAACUUAUAACACCAUCAUUGAUGGUCUCUGCAAAACUUCAAAUACCUCCAUGGCUCUCAAGUUGUUAAGAAAGAUGGAGGAGAUAGGUUGCAGACCCAAUAUUGUAACUUAUACCUCGAUUAUUGAUUCUUUGUGCAAAGAGAGACAAGUCGAUCAAGCAUUGGUUCUUGUGUCUGAAAUGACCAACAAAGGCAUAUCACCUAAUGUUAUAACCUAUAGCACACUACUUCAAGGUCUUUGCAGCUCGGGCCGAUGGGAGGACACUGAGAGUUUGUUAACUGAGAUGGGUGUUAGGAAGGUCUCUCCAAACUUGCACACCUAUAAUAUAUUAGUUGAUGCAUACUGCAAAGAAGGGAGGACAACACAUGCAGAAGAUGUGAUUAAAAUUAUGAUCCAGAAAGGUGUGCCUCCUAACGUAAUCACAUACAAUGCACUGAUGGAUGGUUAUUGUUUAACAGGCAAAAUGGACAGGGCACAAGAGGUGCUGAAUACCAUGAAGAGUAAUGAGAUAUGGCCAGACUGUUAUAGCUAUAACAUUCUCAUUGAUGGUCUCUGCAAGAACAGAAAACUUGACGAGGCCAGAAAUACUUUUGAUAAGCUUGCUUCGAGUGGUUUGCAACCUGACGUCAUAACACACAACAUAAUGAUCAGAGGACUUUGUCAAGAAGGGUUAUUUGAGGAAGCAAAGGAAUUACUUUCUAAAAUGGAAACGGGCAUUCAUGGUACUAGACCUAUUAUCUAAAGAAGAACAAGACCCCUCCGUUCUUGCUUUCUGCAAAUGGUUUUUGCAAUAGGUACUGAAGUUUAUGGUUCAUUGUUAUGUAUUGUCAUCUUUUUACUUCCUUGAGUUUUCUGCUGUAGUAAUAUGUUUUACUGAGCAAAGAAUUAUUCUAAUUAGCAAUGUAAGGGGUUCCAUCAGUUAAGAGCUAAUAGACAAUAUAUUUGAGACGGUAAGACUAUGUCUUUUAUUUGUAUUGAGUACGGUCUAUGUUCAAGUUGUCAUUCAGAAUUGAAACUUGGCAUCUCGAUGCCUCUUAUAUACAGAAAAAGAAAUCAGCAUUUGAUAAUAAUAAAAGAAGCCUAUGUGAUACCUCAAUAAUACAUAUAUUCAGAUAACUUUGUUCUGGAUAUACUCUUUAGCACAUAUUUUGGCUUUCACGAACAAGCUCAUUUUUCUUCCUCGUCAUAUAUGGAUAUAAUAAUAGUUACAACAUAUUGGCAUUCUUCACCAUGGUUAGAGGGUAUCCAUUUAACAGUAAUAACAAGGUAACCACUAGAUUGGUGACAGGGUAGGUCCAGUUAUUCUAAGUUCAUCACCAUGUUUGAUUAAUAUUGACUGUUAUUUCCUAUGAUUGUGGCACUUUGCUUCUCUUGCUCUACUUCAUGCUGGUCUUGCCUAUCACUGCGGAAAGUCAGCAGUUGCUGUUGGCCUCCUAUUGUUGCUGAAGUCGGCAUCUAUUCGGAUACCUAAGAAUCUAAGGGUGUGUGGGGAUUGUCAUACGGCUAUGAAAUUUUUUAUCAAAAGUUUUUGACAGGCAUAUCAUAUAAGGGACUCACACUGUUCCCAUCAUUUCAAUGAACGAAAACGUUCUUGUGGUGAUUACUAGUAUGAAGUCUUCCUGCUUUGUUAUGGCCCCUGCCUCCCAUGACAGUUAAACAGGAGCGCAAUGCACAAUGGCACUAAGAUACAUUGAAGGUAUGUCAAAACUUUUUUCUUUGACAAUUACAUGGCCCAGUAGAAAUAGUGUAUACUGCAAUAUUAAUGAAAAUGCAAUCGAUAAGUAAACAGAAUGGAAGGCAAAUUCAGUUUUCUUAUACUGAAUUUUGGUUCUUAUUAUCAUAUACUAAAGUAAUAUGUGACAAAAUCAAAUCCUUCGAUCCUUAAAUAUUUCUCAAAUAUCGGCUCUUGGAGUGUUUAUCUCAUCCUAUCAGUUUCCGGUGCAAUAUUAUUACUGUAUUGAGGCGAUGACUGAUAUAUCGUGACAUUUAAAUGCUAUGAUCCCUAAACUGACAGAUCAUUGCAUACUCUGUGCGCCACAAUUCCGAACAAAUUUACCUAGCUAGCGAAUGUACUAUUGCUUGAUGAAAUACUAAUAUCUGAUAAAUGUACACUUUGGGAUAUUUUGCAGGCUUAUACUCUUAGAAAUAGAAGCAGAAGUUGUGAUGUCAAAGUCGAUACAAAUAACUUGUAAUGUCCGAAAUAGUACAUAGCGAAUUGUGCUAAACUUUUCUUCGUCUGGUUUAUUUUUGCGCAAAAGUUCCAAGGAUAUGCAGAAAACGCAGGUAAACUGGCAUUCACUAGUAUAUUUAUCUACAACUUUGUGCCUAUAUAAUCAGGAGUAAAAAUAAAUCAUGUGUAGUACUAGACUUCAGAUGCUGCCAAUUGUCAGCAGCAGCAUAUUUAUUUAUCUUAUAUCAUUAGUCAUUAGCAUCAAACCACAUCCAUCCACUAUAGUUUUGAGACAUCACGAAACUGGGAGCCAAAAAUGUUGUUUAGUAAAUAUGCACUAUGCUGAAGAUGACUUGUGAGAGUGUGUUUGCACAAGUAGUAAUCACAAGUUUCUAGUUCAUAAAAAAUUCUGAUGGCAGUGUUCGGCAUAACCUACAAUUGUCAUAUUCUUCUUAUUUUUUAAUCAAUUUAGUGAUAUUGCUCGGUUUUUCAUUCUAUACAUUCAUAUUUAAUAGGUACUGUCCGGGUCUGGACAUUCAACGUCAGGGCAUAAUGUCAACAGGAAAAGACCGGUAAACGGCUUAAUUCUAAAUUUUGGAUGAAUAUGCAGGGGUGUUAUGGUACGUUUAACGGAAAAUUGUCUCACUUUACGUGUCACUUUAGAUGAAUAUCAGGAUAUGCUGGGGUGUGUUUUAAGCAUUCCAGUUAACAAAUUUACCUUUAAUACUGUCAGCAAUUCCUUUGCUCACUUAAAUGGUCUUGUCCCUAGUGUUGUUACCUAAAACACUCACAUGAAGGCCCUUCUAUCUCAUGCCUUUGGAGACUGAGUUUUUGUUUAAGUAGCUUAUGAGAUUUCAAGAAAUUCAGAUGGUCUCUGCAAAAUGAAUACGAAUCAUGAAUCAUAUUCCAGUUUUAGGGUAUGAUCAUUUUAUAGAAGAUAAUACGUGACCUAAAUUGAGCGGUUAUAUACUAAUAUAAGUGCUAAUAUCUGGGAUUAACAAUCAUAUUAAACGCAAUCAUCCUAUCUUUGGUGUGCUGAUGUUCUUGGACAAUAAUCCAAGCAUUGAAAACAUGCUUGGGAAUAUAGCAAAUUUUUCAUAUCAAAUUAAACCACAAAGUUUUUAAUUUAUGAUCAGUAAGGUCAGAGUAAUGGUGGCAAGUUUUACAGGCAUAGAAUUAUUUUUUAAAUAUUUAGAUUAUAUAUUGGGAUAUUAUUGACAUUAUCAGUUAAAGAGUUUUUAAAAAUAUCAAUUACUUAAACUAUAUGUUUUGUUAAAUGAGUUCAAUCAUAUUUAAGAUAAAUAAUAUCAUCAAUAUCAGUAAAAUAUGAGUUAAAUCUACUUUCUUUCUAUAUAUAAUAAGCCGACCAGGGGCAAAAUAUGCCAAGAAAAUGCCUGUGAAAUGACGAGCAUAUCCCUGAAUUAUUUAGAAUUACAAUUUUGUCACAACCAAUUGAAUCUCAGCCCAGAAUAUGACUCUUCCGCUGCUGCUGUGUCAAAGAUUUAGGGCGAUACAGGUUCUUCUGCUCCUGCUAAUUCUAACAGUACAAGCCAAACAUGUCCGCUCUCUUUAAGGUUUCUCUCUCCCCCUCCCCUCUCAUUCUGAUUUUGUGAAUAUGUGUUGUAAAAUGAUUGUUUAGCAUCUACCAUUUAAUUCUUUUUUGAUUUAUCAACUGUUUGUACAAUAAAACUUCAUCAGUUACAAAAACAUGUUUGCUCAUAUUGCUAACCUAGAUUUUGCAUUUGUUCAUCAUAUUGUCAUAUAUUUAGUCUAUUAGUUCAUAUAAGCACAAAAUUUUGAUUGUUAAAUUUAUCAGUUUCUGUAGUUGGUUUUAUUAGCAUCUACUCUGUUUUUUUUUGUUCGUAUGUAAAAUGAAGCGAUAAAGUGAUUGUGAUUGAAGGUAUUGAGCCGGUGGAACGAGUCGACACGGACAUGAACAAGCUAACCGUGAGCACAAGCAGGGAUCCCUCGAAAUUCUGAGACUUAAUUGAGAAGAGAACUAAAAACAAAGUCGAGAUCAUUUCUCCCAAAAAGCAUAAGGCCAACAAAAACGAUGGUGAUGGCAAUGACUGGAAAAAUUCCGGCGACAAGACAGCCAAAGCCGAGAAGAAAUCAAAAGAUGUAGGUGUUUAUAUGCACUACUGUAUUGCUAUAUGUAAUUUUUGGUUCAAGUUAUGUGAAAUGUAAGCUUAAAUGAUAGCAUGUUUUCUUGCAGCCUCCUGUAAGUCUGUAACAGCAGUCCUAAAGGUACCUCUGCUUUGUGAUGGCUGUAUUCAGAAAAUUCAGAAGCUUGUCUACAAAACAAAAGGUAAGUUCUUGAGUGUCAAUUUCAUAAUGAUAACUAACCCAUAAUAUAUAAUAUUAAUGAUAUAUUGAAUUAAGUUUUUUUUCAAAAAUGAUUAAUUUAAAUAUCAAAUCGUAUAAAAAAUAUUUAUAUAUCUACUUAUAUGUAAUGAUUGAAUCUGUAUGGUUGGAUUUUCAAUUAAAUAAAUUUAAUUCUGAAAGCACUAAACAGAAUAGAAAGAUAUUAGUUGCAUGAUGCAUGUAUAAUAGGUUCCAAAGCCGUACAUGUUCUCAGAAAGCAUCUAUUAAAAAAUCAAGAAGACUGCCGGAUGUGAUGCCUGAUGGGUCAUAUAAAUUUCUUUUAUAUGGGUUUUGCUAUGAUAAGUCGAAUGGUGAUUUUUAAGUAUCUCUAUCUUUCAUGGUCUUGCUGUAGGAAAUAAAAUAUCCAUUUAUAGCUCAAAAAACCCAUGGUUGGAGAAUGAUGGGAGAUUUUCCUUAUGCGGCGGGCUCAUUGUCGCCAUGGGAUGUGAAUUACAGGGGGCUGUUAGCAGAUGAAGCUAUGUACUGGGUUUUUAGACCUAGCGAGAAAGCUAGGGUUAUCGUUUCUCUGUACAUAAAACCAGAGACGGAGAAGGGUAUGCAGGUGGAUGUUGGGCACUUUUUGCAAAAGCAUUUUCUUAUGUAAAUUUAAAGUACUCAUUCUGAUUUCUGGGUGAUGGAAAAAUAUGGUGCGGAAGUCUUGGACAAAGCUGUUCAGCAUCCCUUAUGUUGAUAGUAUUCGACUCCUUGAUUUCAUAAAAUCAAAUAGAUUAAAAUGGAGUAAAUAGUAAACUUAUUUCAGCGUUUUUGAACUCCUAAGUGCUUUCAUACAUAAAGGGUUGGUCAUUUUCUCUUAUUUUGGCAGGUUAAGUUUGAAGAGACUUAUAAAAAGUAGAAGGACAAUGACCAAGUUCUUCUUAAAGUUGCAGGAAAGAGUAGGCCGCUUAACUGCAAUAUGAAUUGGAACCUGUUUAGGCUAAGCUCCGUGUGGGAUAGAUUUGCACAAGACAAUUCAUUUUCUGUAGGUGACAAUUGUGUCUUUGAACUGAUAAAUACCCAUGCAUCAGUCAUACCCUUACUUCAGAAUCAACCUAUACCCAUCUUCCUUGUAUGGUGGAUCCUUGGUAAGCUGUUCAGUUGAUAUAAGCUAUGUUAUUGUUUGGGUAUUAUUGAGAUAAACCUACUUAUAUAUAUAUAUAUAUUAAAACAAAAUCAAGGGCAAAAUAUAUCAAGAAAUUGAUAGGAAAAUUACGUGUAAGUCCUUGUGAGACAUUAAAUUAUAGUUAUACCAUCAGUUCAUAAAUGUUUCAUCUGUGAGCCUUUUUUAGUUUUUCAUCGCACAGUAAAGCUUGAAACGGAGCAGGAUCAAAAGGUAGACAAAGGAGUAUCAAGGGAUCACUCACUCAAAUGUUGUGUUGAGCAUUUUUUUUGUUACUAGAGAGAGAAAUUAGAGAGAAAAUUGAACGGGGUUUAUAAGCUAGGGUUUGUCAAAAUUCAGUAGUUAAUUUCUAGGGUUUAAUUUGAUUGUAAAGUCUCGUAAUGCUGGAAAAUCAGCCGUGCUUUCAGAUGACGAAGGUAAUUAAUUAAUUGUGAAUUAUCACUGUAAUAUGUUCCUAAAGUGCUGUUUAUUUUUUGUCUGAUUUUAUUUUUGUGCAUUUGCGUGUACAGAUGAGAUGGAGGAUUGGAGGUGUAUGAUAACAAAGAAGAAGAAGAUGAUGAAGACGGUAAAAGCUUAUUUAUAAUUUAUUCGUUAUAGGUUUUCAUUUGUUUUUUCCAGUUAUGUGUGAGUUUUUGUUAGUUUGUGUGAAAUUUUGGUGAUUGUAAUGUAGGUUUUAAUUUAGUGUUUUUCCAUAGUUGUGUUCUUGCAUCUGGAUUGUUUUUUGUGUAUGAGGUGAUGUUAGGUUUAUAUGACGUUUUUUCAUUUCUCCUGCAUGCGGUUUAUGAGAUGUUUUGGCGAUUCAUGUUGCAUGUCACUUUCAGAAACAGUUCUUUUUUCUUUAUAUUGUGACACUGUAUUAAUUAAUAACUAGCUGCUAGGA